rnacentral:lncRNA from 1 species
AGAUGAGCGGCUGCCUGUGCCUCCCCUGCUGCUAUAAGAAGUCCCCCGCCCCCGCCCCCGCUGGGGAGAACAACAAACCAGCAGCGGCAGCGGCAGCGGCAGCGGCAGCGAUAGAUUCUUCCUCCUCGUCACUCAUCCAGAAGCCUACCUACCAUCCACCACCUCCUCCACCCUCCAACAAGGUCCGUCUCCCUCCUCCCCCCUCUCCCCCACACACCACCCACAAACUGCUCCAUCCAUCCAUCAAUCUCUUCUUUUUUCCGUUUCCUUUUCUCCGCCCGCCCCCCUUUCGAUUCAGUUCACAGCUUGCCCUUUCAGCUUUUCUUCUUCUUCUUCUUCUUUUUUGUUGUAAAGCAUUUGUUAUCCUCUUGCAUCGCCUUUGAAUCGCCUUUGUUCGUUUGCGCACGCCCUCCCUCUCCCUCUCCGUGGGCACAGCUCUCUCCCUCGAAAUUCGCAUGAUGCAUGUCAAUGGGUUAAUUUGACGGCAACUGAUUCGGUGCUGAUCCUUCCCUCCCCUUUUGCAGAUGGACGCCGCCGUGGAGCGCCUCAAGACCGGGUUCGAGAAGUUCAAGACCGAGGUCUACGAGUAAGCAGUUACCCCCAAUCCUGUCCUGCUGCGUCAAACCGAUGAUGUUUUCGUUCGAUUUAAGUCUUGUGUUUUAACUGACGAUUCUCUCUCCGUUUCCUCUUCCCCUGACAGCAAGAAGCCCGAUUUCUUCGAGCCGCUCAAGGCCGGCCAGGCGCCCAAGGUAUGUACCCCCCAUCAUUCCUUCUGCCAUAAAAUGUUGCCCUACUCUACUCUAGUUGCUCUGUAGAUUUGGGGAUCGACUCAUCAGGCGCUCACUAGUAUUACUUCUUCUGGUAGCCAUGGCGCAGCAGCGGAAGAAAAGAAAGCCCCUCUGUUCGUUCACAUUAUCCUGGGCAUAACCCGGAAUACACUCUGUGCUGUGGCCUGUGGGUGCCCAUAGCAUUUCCUCCUGCUGCGGUCAAAGCAGAUGAAAGAAAACUGCCGCUUGUCCUGAUGUCAUGGCCUGGCCGUAAGAGGGGACAGCUUGUCGCCAUUGCCGGCCAGUUGAUACUCUACUACUAGUACUAGGUUAUGUGUUAACACAACCACUACUGUACUACCGUAGCAGAGACGGGGCAGGGGGCAAUCUCAGGCUGAAACCAGUACGCUUGUGGAUCUCCCUCCGAAUAAACCCCCCACCUGUCGUGCACAUCCAGGAAAUCGGAUCGCGCUGCGGUAACGACUCCCAUGUGCCGUGCGAUGCCAUGAUAUGAUUUGGCUUAUUGAGAUGUCACCGUCCCUAUCACUCGCUUUGUGGUCUUGUGGUAUUAGAAUAUGGUUCUUUUUUUGCCCUUUUAUUCUCGUGUAGGAGGGGCAGCAGCACCUAGGAUAACUUGACGUCCGGAAUCUUGCAAGUACAAGUACGACUAAGUAUCAUUUUUUUCCCCAUCUCUCAGCUGAGAUUAUCGAUUGGCGUGCUUGCUAAUGCAAUGGUAGUAGUAUUAGAGGUCGUUGAGGUUCUUUUGGCCCUGUUGAAUUUCGAUCCCAGCCGUCUGCUUGCUAUCAUCCUCUUUUUUUUCUUCUCUUUGGAAAUGAAAAUAGCCGUCAGCCCGCACUAUCGGAGUUGAACAUGUAGUAGUACAUCUUUUGAUGAUGCCCAUUUAUAUGGAAGCUUCAUCAUCUUGGCAUGGCACCGGCCGCGUCAGACCCCACACACACAAAGAACCGUGAACAGCAAGCCUUGUUCCUUGGGAUAUUAUUGAAAGCAGAGAAGAAAUACCUCUACCUGAACAGGGCAUAGCUAGCUGUAGCCAGCAUCUUAUGGCCAUGGCGCUGCCGGUCUGCGUAGCUACGAGUACAUGAUUAGGCAGGCCCUACCGAUACCAGGAGCUAUCAACGGGUGGAGCACCCAUCACAAAUUAAUGUGUUUGGACAGAGUCUUGCGUAUACAUAUGUUUGGCGGUACUCUUUUUGAGAUUGGCAUAUGCUUACCUUAAUCUGGCUGGUAUACUUGAGAGAUCGGUUUAGGCCCGAGGCUACUUUACAGGGAGACAGUAAUCCUGCAGCUGACCAUCCAUCCAUGCCACAGCCCAUGGGACGGUAGUGCUGGUGCUGCUACUGCAAGGAAGAAAAGAUCUUUACAGUACGUACUUCCGGCGUGUCGCCAUCGGAGGAGAAAGUUGCGCAGCGUGUGUGGGCCUGUCUUCAUUUGUUGCAGAAACCGCCGGUGGUCCUGUCUUGAUAACUCGCAAAAAAUGCAUGGCCCGUAAUCGAGCCUGUCGUCGGGUCUACUGUCACGCGUCAUAAUCAAGUGCUUAUUUCGGUAAUUUGGUUUUGGUUUGGAGGAGAAGCCUGUGCCAGUAGGCUAUCCAUGGUCCCGUGCCACGGAACCUUCGCGCUACUCCUACUUGCUUUGCUCGCCUUUCUGUCCCCUGUACCGUACGUCUCCGGUUCCUUCCGGCCAACACAUAGUAAUCUCUUUCCCUAGCCCCUCUGCACUGCAUCUGCAUGCUACUACUAUGUUCUCUCUCUCUCUCUCUCUCCUUGGAUAAAAAAGUGCAGUGGAGACAGGUCAAAAGUGGCAGCCUUUAGCUGCAAAGCUGUGUGUGUCAGAAGGAAACGCCUACACCGCCUAUCGCGGUUAUCAGCACAGCUGCUUAUUUGUUUAUGCGCUGAACAACGCAUCUGCUUAUCACUAACCACUGUGAAAUGCUCUAAACUAAAAAGGUGGAUUACGGCUACACGAGUGCUUGCUUAGUGUACGUAGUGGAGCAUCUUUUCUUUCUUGGUUGAUGAUUGAUUGACUGACUGAAUUGGUGUGAUUGGGUGUGCAUGCAGUACAUGGUGUUCGCGUGCGCCGACUCGCGUGUGUGCCCGUCGGUCACCCUGGGCCUUGAGCCCGGUGAGGCCUUCACCAUCCGCAACAUCGCCAACAUGGUCCCGGCCUACUGCAAGGUCCCGUCCCGUUUCCCUCUUCCUCGCUCCCUUUUUCAUCGCCGAGCCGCAUUAUUGACGUUUUUUUUUCUUUUCCCGCGCUCUUGUCAACUAUACAGAACAAGUACGCCGGUGUUGGAUCGGCCAUCGAAUACGCCGUCUGCGCGCUCAAGGUCAACUCCCUCACCCUCUCUCUUUCUUUCUUUCUUUCUCUAGUGCUGUCACUCUAAAAUAGGAGUGCAUUAUUGCACUAGUGGGCUUUGCUGUCAUCUCAUCGUCACAAAGUUCCUUCCAAUUACUACUGCUCUAGUAAGAAGAACAACUGAACAUGGGCACUGGCUGUUUUUUAGAGCAUGCCCUGAUUUGGUACCACACAUGGCUGCAGGUUGAGGUCAUCGUGGUGAUUGGCCACAGCCGCUGCGGUGGAAUCAAGGCUCUGCUCUCGCUCAAGGAUGGCGCAGACGACUCCUUGUAAGUAGAGUAAAACGGCUCAAAUCGUAUUCCCACUACGCUACCGUCUCUCUGAUCAGUUUGUGAUCGUCUUAUUUGAUUGGUCAGCCACUUCGUUGAGGACUGGGUCAGGAUCGGGUUCCCGGCCAAGAAGAAGGUGCAGACUGAGUGCGCCUCCAUGCCUUUCGAUGACCAGUGCACCGUCCUGGAGAAGGUUCGCACCGUCGGCCAUCUGCCAUUUCAUACUUUGCUCGUAUAGUAUUAGCAACUGCUCCUACUAUAGUAGUAUGCUCCACAGUUCUGCAUGUGGAUUGUCUAACUGACGAUUGGUACGCUGACAAAGAGAUAUUUCUGAAUCUUUCCCACAGGAGGCCGUCAACGUGUCCCUCCAGAACCUCUUGACCUACCCGUUCGUCAAGGAGGGUGUGACCAACGGAACCCUCAAGCUCGUCGGCGGCCACUACGACUUCGUCUCCGGCAAGUUCGAAACAUGGGAGCAGUAAAUCUUCCCCACCGGUUAACUCCGACAUAUACAAACGUACAUAUAUCAAGAUAUCGUCCGAUCGAUGUGAAUGCAAUGCCAUGGGAGUGCGUACCCGUUAUUGUCCAGUACUGGAUGCCGGAUGGCCCGAUGUGAAUUUGCCAUAAGCAAUAGAACCUUUUUUUCUUCACCAUUUUCUGACGAGGAAUUGUACUGCUAUGUGAUGCAUAAUUUGAUCGUCUUGUGAUCGAAAGACAUCAUAUAUAAGUUUAAUAUAAUAUUUUCAUGAACCGUUUACCUUUUUAUUACCCUUUCUAUCAGCUGUCUUCAAAGUUUUAAAUAGCCCGCUAUAGUCCAGCUAUAGCGGGGCUAUAACUGUUUGAACAGAUGCCGCUAUGUGGCAUAGCCCGUUAAACUUGCGAAAUAGCGGGCUAUAGCCUCGCUAUAGCUGAUUUGGAAGGCCGUCGCUAUUUGGCAUAGCCUGCUAUUUAAAACAUUAAUUUGAGGUUUGUCUUACACUGCUUACCUGUUUGCCCAACCCAAAAAAGAGUGUAUAGCUAAAAGGAACCGAAAUUGACUAAAAGAUUUGAGGUCUUGUAAUAGGAAAAAUUUAACAUACUCCCUCUUAUUCCUUUUUUUACCUGCGAGAUAAUAAUCAGACCAUUAAUUAACGAAAUUCAUGGUUCAAAUCUAUUAUAUACUGUUAAUUUUUACGUGAAAACAGGAGGUAAGAGGAAGCAUGCUAAAACUGCUCAUACGCCUUCCAGAAGCAUGAGAAAGGUUUCUUAUGGAACAUGUCAUCUUCGGGAAGGUUUCUUAUGGAACACCCCAUCUUAUGGAACACCUCUUAUUUCCUUUCAAGUACUGUCUGCGCCACCAGCCGUGGAGAAUGCCUCGAGGUUACCCAAGGCGCAUGGGCUCUAUUGAGAUGGUCAUCAACAAUGGCUCCCGAAGAUUCGCCUGCUCUGCACGCAGCUAGAGGGGUGUACCUUGACGAUACCCACUAUGUACGAGGAAGGAAGCAACUGAAUAUAUGUGGUACAAUACGCUGUUCCGGGAGCCAUCAUGGCUGCGUAUGCCACAAGAGACCAUGUCGCCCCGGUACGAGCUAAGCUAGUCUAUUAUAUGUUAUAUUCAACCAAUGAUGAUCCACACAAGGGCCCUCAAGAAGAUGUACAAAUAGGGGAGGUCGUGGCCUCGCAAGACGUGAGGUUCAUCCAGAACAAAAGACACGCAUUGUAGCCAACUACCAGUGAAAUAAUAAAACAGAAUAGGAGUAGAGUAUUACCCCAACACGAUGGUCUGAACCUGGGUUCUCCCACGUGUUCUACUCCUCUUUCUCCUCUUUCCGAUCGUCCAUGACUUAGGACGCUAGACGCGUUCAGUCACUCGACGAACUCUCAAAGGGUUUUAGCAGACAACCCAAUGUCGGGUUCUUACACAUCGGCAUUUGACGCGCCAGGUAAGGGACUCAGGCGUAUCCGUCCCCCUUGGUCCGCAGUAACUUUGACGUUGGAUUUCUUCACUCUGUGUCACGGUCAUGGUGACGGCGUCGUGGAUGUCUCAAACAUCUCAUGACCCAAAAAACGAUCGGGGCACAGACUUCACAGCGUGCCACCGAGACCAUGCUGCUCUGAUGGGCAAGCAACCGGCGACGCCAUUUCCACCCUGGCAUUCUCGCGGGGUGGGGAUGGCGCCUUGCGCCAGGACUGUAUUUUCAAUGUGAAAAGCGGCGGCCAUGGCGGUGUCGGCUAUGGGCCUCUUUCCGAAAAACCGCAUGGAUCCCCAUGCGGCGGUCGAGAAUCCUUUAGAGAUAGCGGUCUGGCCUGCACCGGGGGGGGGGGGGUGGGUUUUUCUUCGAGCCACGGUGGUGCUAUCGGCCCCAUGAUCGUACUAAAGCCUAAUGGCAAGGUGCAAGUGUGCGUGUGUUUUCUGAGCAGCGACGAGAAGAACGGGACAUGACGACCUUCGCUACAUAGUUUGGGAGAUACUGCACCCCGUGUUGGCCGUUUGGGAUGAGUAAUGCAGGAGUUACUUGAAAUAAACUCGCAUGCAUCACCCUCGGCUCUCGAGCAAGCGGGGGAGGCGCAAGCGCAUGACACUCACAUCCGGUCCUCCCCAAAGGACCACUCAGGCUGCUCCGGGGCGGUCAACGUGUGGCCCCUGGUGAAGCAGCCCGCUUUGUGUGUUUCUGAAAGUUAGCACGAGAGCUUAUAAUAUUCCAUUGUAGAAGAAGAAGCCAAUGGCUAAAACUGCUUGGUUUGUUAAAGAAAAAUUGGACGAAAACCUGUACAAAGGACACACCACACCUAGCUAAACUAGGUCUAAGAGCAUCUCUAGUAGAACCCUCAAACCCUUAAAUCUAAAACCAGUUUUAAGGAUUGAGAAUUGACCAUUUUUGAUACUUUUAAGGGUUGAAAAACAGGGGCAAAGACUAGAACCCUCAAACCCAACCCUUAUAAUCGAAUAUUCCGUUAUAAGGGUUGGAUAAGGGUUGGGUUUGAGGGUUCUAGUCUUUAUAAGGGUUGGGUUUGAGGGUUCUAGUCUUUGCCCCAACCCCAACCCUUAAAACUGUCAUUUCAUAUAUCACACAUUUCAUCACAUUUCAUCAUAUGACAUAUCACAAAUUCAAUCACAUUUGACAUAAAACAAUAAUCAUUCUAGUUAUUAUUACAACACCGAAUAAAACAAUAAUCAUUCAAAUCAUUACAACAAUGUUUGAGCAAACUACAACAAUUGUUCGAAUCAAAUAGGACAUAGAUAAGUAAAACAAAGAUACAUCAUGCGCCAAUGCGCCGCCCAUCCAAAUGCCAGUGGUGCUCUACUAGAUCAUCCCGGAACCGACCAUGAGCGGUUCCAUCCUCAAUCUCACGAUGUGCUUCAAGAAAAGCUUGUAUGCGAGAAGGGUUUCUUUACGGUUGCACACGGGUACCAACAUUGUCAUAGAAACAAGGGAGAUUUAACCCUCUCUCAUCCUCUAGGAUCAUGUUGUGUAGAAUCACACAACAUUUCAUGAUGUUCAUCAAGGUUUUUUUGUCCCAAAACCGAGAUGGAUCCCGAACUAUGGCAAACCUUGCACGUCGACGAGGAAGCUCAUCAUCUCGACGUCGUCGUCUUGCAACAACUCGUCAAUGUCCGAAUCGUCAGAUGACGACCAAUCCGACGAAUCUGACAACGAGUCCAUCUACAUACCAAGUGGCUACAAUUAGUGCGAAUGAAGCAAAAAUUAAAAACUUAAAAUGUAAAAAAACCUCACCGGGGCAGGGUGGGGACGGCCGGCCGAGGCGGGGCGCGGGCGGGCGGCGUCCGGGGCGGGNAGGGCGGCAGGGCAAGGAAGGCGGCGGUCGGGGCGCGGAGGGGCGGCGAGGCGACGACCGGGGAGCGGAGGGAGCGCGGGGCGGCGGCCGGAGCACAGGGGUAGGCGGGGUGGCGGCGGCCGAGGCGACUCCCUCGCGCGCGGGGGAACCAACUGCCUCCCGCGCGAGGUGGGAAGUGGAGUGCCGGUUGGGGGCAGUUUUCCCUCCCAACCCUCACUUCUAGAGGCUGGGAAGGGGUUUGAGGGUUGGACCUCUAAUUUUUUUACGGGUUUAAGUGUUCUAGUCUACGCCGUUUUUCCGAUGAAAACUGUAAAAAACGGUUAUUUUUAAGGGUUUGAGGGCUCUAUUAGAGAUGCUCUAAAGCACUACAUAGCAUACAAAAGCGCCAAGAAACCAAAUAAACAACAGGAACAUAAGCAAUACAAGCAGUGUCAUCGUACAUCACCAACCGCGCUCACGGCCAGACCACUUCGACUUCGCUGUAACAUCACACAAAUGCACCAAGCUGUCGCAUCGAUCAAGGCAGCCACAAGCAUGUUCAACAACUUCGUCGACACCGAAGAGAAGACAUAUCAGUAGAGGAGCAGACAUGUGCUGCUCUGGUAUCAAGAGGACAACCAACAUGAAUUGUUUGGCGUUGAUUGCAUGCCAAGAGUGCUCCAAUGACCAUACACUGUCUGCCAACAGUCAGCCCCCAAUGGACGCGCCGCCACGGACCCUAUCGCCACCCUGCCACCGCCAACUCCAAACUGGGCACUUUACCACAGAGCAUGUGCUCCCAUCUAAGAGGUCAAAUCUCCAUAGAGAUGCUUUCAACAAAGAAACGACGUGAAAGACGCCGUCAUCGCCGAUCCAACAAUGCAGGUCUAUAUUUUCACCCGGAGACCGAACUCGAAGAUGAGAGAGGUGCAAAGUCUCCUUGAUGAGGCCUUCAACAAGGAAACAACAACAACACCCAAAGGUGUUGUCAUCACCGGCCAAGAGUAGGACUUUCGUCCAAAGAAAUGGCAUACCUACGUCGUGGACAACUCCUGGACGCACCCACUAGCUGAUCUCGAGAUGCCCCUCCUCACGUCCAGGCCGGAGCACGACAAAGCAUCGACAUCCGCACCACGCGCCGCAUUCUGUACCACCUCUCGACAAGCCACGAGCCAGGAAAGGCCUAGAUCUGGCCGGCCCUGUCCGCAUCCGCCGCAACUCACCCACCGGAGGCGCGACACAUGAGCGUCGCCUCCAACCUCCACCAGCACGCGCCACCACCUGCGCGUCCUCCUCCGGCCCGGACGGGCUCGGAUCUGGCCGACCUGCAGCAGCCACCACCACAACCUUGUUCUGUCGCUUAUUUCCCCCGAGCAAGGUUGCAGCACCAAGCCUUCAUGGACGAUCCACGCGCCGACGACUAGCAUCCCCGCCACCAUGUCGGUCUUGGCUGAAACCAACCCGAGAUCUGACCGCCACCUUACAAACGAGGUCAUGCCUCAGGAAGCCGUCGCACCGGUAGAAGAAAACUUUGCCCCAUCAUCCCUGAAGCCGACCAGACUUCGCCAAUGAGCCCCUCAGGCGGCGGCAAGGGGAGGGUGGCGUCGAUGGAUUUAGAGUUUCCCCCCGAGCCGCCAGAGGAGGGUGACGCCCGCGAGGGGGGGAGCCCGCUUUGUCGAGUGUCCCCUCCUGAACCGUGGUGCCGGUCUCGAUGCAAAGGCCAGCUUAGCCACUAGCACCCACGUGGGUGGCAGGGAAUCAGCCGACCGCAUGUGCGCCGAAUCCUUAAAAUCACUCUUAUGAGACCUCUCCAAUGCGGAAGGAUUAUGGGGGUUUGUUCAUUCUUCGCUCUUGUGACAACCGAGGUCCAAACAUGGUCACCGGAAUAUGUCGCGCCAUCCGCGAUGGAAAUGUUAUGGGGUCCUAUCCCGCACUAACCACUUUCCCUAGACUGACAACCCCUUGCUUUUGUCCCCCGCGGUAGAGUCACAGCAGUACGCCCCAAAAAUGCUAAACAUACAAACACUUACAAAGGGUUACACGCUAACUAGAAUUUUUUCUUUCUAACUAACCUCCCCCCCUUGAUUUUCAAGGGGGUGGGGUCCUCACCCCCCUUAAUAUCCAAUUAAAAUCCACCUACCUGUAAGACUCCUGUAAACCUAUGUAUGUGUAGCAUUACUGGUACGCCCCACCUGCGCGAGGAAAUGUUCUCAGGUCCUGCCCCGCACGAACCUCGUUACUUGAACUUCUAAGCCCCUACUUCUCUACCCAUGCGGCAGAGACACAACAGUGUGUCGCAUUCGCCGCGACGGAAACACAACAGUGUGUCUCUCCCCAUGCUGUUCAACGGCACACUGUGCCCCUUCUUUUAUAAGAAAUGGAAGCAGUAUACGAGGAAACAACAGACAAUUGUCAGUGAUCCCAGGAAGGAAGGGGGCUUAGGCGCGCCAAAGUUGUUCCCUUUCCCCUGCUGCGCCACCGCCUUAACCACGUCUGCCAUGACGCGUUGGGCCCUCUAUCAUGGGGAUGUCACGACAAGUGUCCUCAUAGGAGAACUUAGUUGCGAGGCCAUGGCGGCUAGGAGAAACCUUGGAUGGGGUUGAUCUGGAACAAGAGAAGCGAGUUUACCCAGGUUCGACCCCUCUACUAAGGUAAAAGCCUACUCCUCCUUGUGUUUGCUUAGAUGUCAAGAUCUUGAGUACAAGGGUGUUGUUUCGCUACCAAUGGCUCGAUGGCUUGUAGUUGGCCCACCCGAGGCUUGCCUUUAUAUACUAGGUCAAAUCUGUGAUGUGUGUUUGCUAUAUUUAAGUCUUUAAGUGGAUUUAUCUCCAUUAAAUAUCUAGAAAUAAAUUUUAUGUCCUAAAAAAGUUAAUUAACAUUAAAAUGGGUCAAACUCUCACAUGAAAGUUUAAAUGAUGUACCUUUAAUGUAGAAAACAAUUAUCCCAUAAGAUCAACAUAAAAUACUAAAAUUCUAACAUUACGGAAAAAUGACAUGAAAAAUACUAGUGGCUGGCACAAAAUAGAGCAUGCCACUGCUAUUUUCUUUACUAGUGGCGGCAUUAACUAUGGCCCGCCACUCGUAAAUUUUGGAUAGAUUUACCUUGACACCGAGAAAAUACUAGUUGCGGGCACAUAUUGUUGGAAAUAUGCCCUAGAGGCAAUAAUAAAUUAGUUAUUAUUAUAUUUAUUUGUUCAUGAUAAUAGUUUAUUAUCCAUGCUAGAAUUGUAUUGAUUGGAAACUCAAAUACAUGUGUGGAUACAUAGACAACACACAGUCCCUAGUGAGCUUCUAAUUGAAUAGCUUGUUGAUCAAAGAUGGUCAAGGUUUCCUGGCCAUAGACAAGUGUUGUCACUUGAUAACGGGAUCACAUGAUUAGGAGAAUGAUGUGAUGGACAAGACCCAAACUAUGAACGUAGCAUAUGAUCGUGUCAGUUUAUUUCUAUUGUUUUAUUUAUGUCAAUGUAUCUGUUCCCAUGACCAUGAGAUCAUGCAACUCCCGGACACCGGAGGAAUACCUUAUGUGUUACCAAACGUCGCAACGUAACUGGGUGACUAUAAAGGUGCUCUACAGGUAUCUCCAAAGGUGUCCGUUGGGUUGGCAUGGAUCAAGACUGGGAUUUGUCACUCCGUGUGACGGAGAGGUAUCUCGGGGCCCACUCGGUAAUACAACAUCACAAUAAGCCUUGCAAGAAAUGUGACUAAGAAGUUAGUCACGGGAUCUUGAAUUACGGAAUGAGUAAAGAGACUUGACGGUAACGAGAUUGAACUAGGUAUAGAGAUACCGACGACCGAAUCUCGGGCAAGUAACACACCGAAGGACAAAGGGAACAAAUACGAGAUUAACUGAGUCCUUGACAUAGAAGUUCAAUCGAUAGAGAUCUUCGUCGAAUAUGUAGGAGACAAUAUGGACAUCCAGGUCCCGCUAUUGGUUAUUGAACGGAGAAUGUAUCAGGUCAUGUAUGCAUAGUUCUCGAACCCGCAGGGUCUGCACAGUUAAGGUUCGGUGACGUUUUUGGUAUAGUUCAGUUAUCGGUAUUGGUAAUCGAAGGUUGUUCGGAGUCCCGGAUGAGAUCCUGGGCUUCACGAGGAGCUCCAGAAUGGUCCAUAGGUAAAGAUUGAUAUAUAGGAAAGUACGUAUUGCACUCCGGAAAUUUUUUGGGCAUUUCCGGCAAUGUACCGGGAGUGACGAAUGGGUUCCGGGGGUCCACCAGGUGGGCCCACCCACCCCAAAGGGUCUCAUGGGCUGUGGUAGGACGUGGACAAGCAUCUAGUGGGAUUGUCGGUGAAUACUCACAACAUAUGCCAUAGGUAGGCUAAAGUCAGUGAGAACCGAAGGGACAAAGGUGGAUGCUGGGAACGAGGUUGGUACACGCAUGGGACGCACGAUGUACCCAGGUUCAGGGCUCUCCGUAGAGAUAAUACCCCUAAUCCUGCCGGAGUGUUUGAUGUGUAUGAACAGAGUACAGGGUUGCUCCUGGAGCUGUAUUGGGAGGAGGAAGAGGGGAGCAGCCGGCUCAUCUCUGCCUCUCUUUGUGGUUGGUGAGCGUAUAGUGCUGUUCGGUUGUGGAAUGAUCGGCCCCCCUUGCAUGAAGGGUGACCGGGGGGUUUUAUAGACAAAACCGCCGGCCUACAAUAUGGAUAAAGGGUACAAGUGUGGGACCCGGCUGGCAGCCUCGCCGGCUGGCCAGGGGCCCACUAGAGUCUUGUCUUGUCGCUUGAGGGACCCGCCGGCUGCAUGGUCUCGAUUGGCAGUGGGACCCGUCGGCUGGCCAAUGAGGCUCUCGCGUAAGGUUGACGCCGAGCAUGCGUUGUACGUCAAGCGUCACCCCGCGAGAUUCGUCAUGGGCAGGUAGUACGGUCGCCUCCACUGUUCCCCACGCCGAGUGCAGUAAUGGAGUGGGAGUGUGACGGUCCGACACUAUGCUAGGUGAUGGAUCAGAGCCGGGGUAGGUCAGCGGCAUGGCCGCCGACGCUCGUACCUGUGGGACACCCCGAUCCAGUACCUUUUGCUGACGCGUAACUACCUUUAGUCGUAGGGUCUCAUCCUGACCUACGAUCUGAUGUGACUUGUGAUCUUUGGUCGGCUAGCGUGCUUGGCUAGCCGGCUGGGGCGCGGCCGCCUCCUUCCGAGCCGGGCUGGCGGGACCAGGCCGGCUCAGAAGAGGUAGCCGCCUCGACUCUAGCCUGCGGGGGUUGCCAGGCCGGCCAGAGGAAUGGCCUCCUCGUCCUCUAGCCGGCAGGCGCUGCCUAGCCGCCCGGAAGACUUGGGCCUUGGGAAUCAGUAUACGUUCAUGUCCUUUGGGCUGGAAAUGAAGGAGUAGGCUUGAUGAGCCUACCCCGGGGUUAUCCUCCUGUCAGUAGUCCCGGAAGCUGGCGAGGCCUGCCGUCUGCGAGCGGGCGGACUCACCGGCUUGUCGAUUUGUCUUGAUAUUUUUCGCCGCCACUCGUGACGAAGGGCGCCGGCUUCGAGACCGAUUGGCUUUGAAGCGACGCCUCGGCCUCGUCGCAAUUUUCUCGAAGAACGCCAUGUGCCAGGCCCCGCCUGGCGUAAUGAUGGUGAUUACUGAUGAUGGGACCGGGCCUGGGCCCUGGGUCCCGCCACGACGCCCCCUCGGCCUCCGCGCGGGAGAUCCUCUGCGGAUUUACUCCGCGACAGUUGGGCUUAGGGAAGCGUUACUGCCCGUAAUACACGGGGUUAAUGGGGGAUCCGACGCGCACCGGAUCCCCUCCCCACGACGCUUCGUGGGGGUUUAAAUGGGAUGCGGGGGUUCCGAGGAGGCCAUUCGCCCCCUCCUUGCUCCGCAUCCGCGCUCUCUUCCUCCCUGCGCCCAGAGAGAAAGAUCUCGCAUCCUUCGUCUUCUUCGUCUUCGUUGCCGCGAAGUCGCCAACUCGCCAACCCCUUCGGGUUCCCGUCAUCCGCAGCCAUGGCCGAUGGUUCUUCCUCGAAGAGGCCCUCGACGCAGAAGGCGUCCUCGCAGGGAGCCUGGCUGGACAGUGAUGUCGGCGAGGGGCACAUCAAAGCGCCCCGUCACCACCGACUACUGCCCCCGGCCUCCCAAGUGUUGGUGCGACUCCCUGGCGCCGAGACCUCUCCCGCACCCGCCGCGGGAGAGGUCAUGGUCUUCGUCGAGCAUUUCUACCGGGGCUUCGGGCUCCCGGCCAGCGCUUUCUUCGCCGAAUGGCUCCACUUCUUCGGCCUGCAGCCGCAUCACUUGGCGCCGGACGUCAUUCUGCAGCUGUCGGCCUUCGUGGUCCUCUGCGAGGGCUUCGUGGGGAUCGAGCCCCGCGUCGACCCGUGGUGCAACCUAUUUUUCUUCAAGCAGCAGUCUAUUGCCAUGGAGAAAUCCGAGGUGGAGAAGCUCCAGGGGCCGCGCCCGAUGACGCCGUGCGGGGCCGCGUUGGUGCACCACCGCUCGAAGUCGGGCUUCCCCGAGACGCCUGUGCAAGAAUCCAUCAAGCAUUGGCAGAAGGGUUUCUUCUAUGUGAAGAUCGCCGACCCGGCCCAGGAUGCCCUCAACAUGCCCCUGUUCGACAUCGCUCCGCCGACGAGGCGGAACUAGGAUGCAAAGACUCCCAAGCCGAUUCCUGAGGUGGCGUUGAUCUGUGCCCACCUCGACAUUUUGGAGAAGAGCGGCCUCCUUGGUCGCGACCUUCUCACCACCAUGGUGGCCCGCCAGAUCCUGCCCUUGCAGAGGCGGCCGCAUCUGGUCUGCCAGAUGAGCGGCCGGUAUGACCAAUGCCGGCUAUCCACCAAGAGGUUCACCCCCGGCGCUGUAGCGUGAAGGGUGAACCUGAUCUCCAUCGCCCGCAUGGGUGAGAGCGGGGAAUGGACGUGGGGGAUGUCCCCCUUCAACAGGGCCCAUCCGCCUCCGAUGGUAGGUGGCUUCUUUAUUCUUUGUUGUUUGCCUUGAAGCCGGUCGUGUUGCUGAGCCGACGAUUGAAUCCCUUUCCGCAGCUGUUGGAGAAUUUGCAGGGGUCCCUCCGUUCGCCCGCUCCUGACGUGGAUGUGUCCGACGCCUCGGAGAUUGAGGACGAGGGCAUGAUUGAAUCCCGCUCGGACUCCUCCGCCGGCUCAGAGAAUCCCUUGGAUUCGGAAGGGACAAAGACGUCUGGUGAGUACGCACGGCCCUCCGUUGCGGACUGGACGGAUGACGACGAGAUUCCCUCAUUCAUUUCUGGUGCAGCCUUCGAGGAGGACUCUGAUGGGGUGGAAGAGGUCACCAGUCCGCCACUGACGCGCGGCAGGCGCCAAAGGGGCGGAGCGACCGCUGCUGACGAGGCAGCCGGGAAGAAGGGCAAGGGUGCCACAGCUUCCCGACCGGCUCCUAAGCGGCCGGCGCCAGGUCCUCCAGCUGGACAGCGAGCAAGCUACACGAAGAGACGCUGCGGUGCUGGCCGGAGGUAGGUCCGUGUGGUAGCGGGGUAAGAUUUCCUCCCCCUUUUCUUCGUCUAUCUUGCGAGGAGCUUUUUUCCUUAGGAGUUUUGCUUGACAGGGAGGCGGAUGAUGUGGAUGAAGACACCGCCUCCGCAGCCGAGCGGGCUGGCUGGGUAGCAGCCGAUGCUGCCCAGAGGGAGCUUGAGAUAGAGUCCAAGCGCCGAUGGGACACGGCUGCGGGGAAGGCUACCGUGGGCCAGCCUCACCCCAGCCGGGUCGAGAGACCGGUGGAGAAGCGUGCGAAGGCUAGACAUGACCCCUCCGCACAUGCUCGUGCGGAGGAGCCAACUAGCGAGACCGCCUCAAGGCUGGCCCCAAGGGCUGAGGGGGCCCAGCCUUCAGGGCCGGAAGCCUCGGCGCGGGUGGACCAGGAAACGGUCCCUGACUCCCCCAGGGCCGAGGCGGCACCCGGCGCGCCGGAGAUGGACCUAGCUGCACCGGACACGACCCCUGAUGCCCCAGGGGUGACCAUGGAUGCGUCGGACGCGGCCCACCCGCCUCCCGCGGAGGAGGCAGCGUCAGCCGGGAUGGCGCCAGAGCCGGCUGCCGAGUCGGCACCAGGAGCCGGUGCCAUCGUCAUUCUCCAGCACGGCCCUGUUGCGCCGGGAGCCGGGGGCCGGGCUGGGAGCCGGCCCAUGAAGACAUAGCGGGCGGCAAACCUGGCCCGCCUGCGACUGCCCGCCGGCACCUCGCUUUCCGACGUCCUGGAGCUGGUGAUGAUGUUUACCAGCAGCCGGUCCAAGGUGGAGCAGUCGGCCCGCAUGGUGUGCGGCGACAUGGAGCGCCUGGAGGCCCGCACCCAGGUAGGUGUUUCCUCUUUGGCUUUUUGAACUUUUUUCUCUUCCUUUUGCGUUAGUGCGGGCGCGACAGCGCACCCACUGGGUGUAGCCCCGAGAAUUGGGCCGGUCGAUCGUCGACCAGACCGAAUCUCUUGGAGGUCCUUUUCCCUGUAUUGUUUCUUCAGUGGGGGCGCACUAGCGCACCCACUAGGUGUAGCCCCCGAGAAUCGGGCUGGUUAAGUCUUACCUAGGACGAAUCUUAAUCCUGUUCCUUUUUGCUUUUUUGGCACGAGCUUUAUGACGCUUAGGCGCAGGCUUAUAACGAGCUGCAAACCCAACACCUGGGGGCUGAUAGCCGAAUCGCUGAGCUCGAAGUCCGGCUGGCGAAGCUGCGAUGUAGCGGGACGCCCUGCGUAACACCGGCAACCAGCUCCAGGAGCAGCUGGUCCUUCUUCAGACGGAGAAGAAGGAGCUCGAGGCGGCCAGCCGGGUCGAGCUGGAGCGACUGCGCGCUACGCUGCAGGAGAAGGAGGCCUCCUACUCCGCCGACGUGGAUCACCUCGCGUCGCUUCAUCUCAAGGAUAUGGACCUCAAGGACGCCGCCUUGAGGGAGAAGGAGGAGGCCCUUGGCCAGAAGCAAACGCAGCUGGCCAAGGCCUUGGAGUCUGCGGCGACUCUCUAGGAGGAGGUUGCCCGCCUUACUCAUGCGAGUAAGGUGCGGGAGCGCGAGCUUCUCAAGAGCUCCCAUGAGACCGAUGGCGCCUUCCAUCAUGAGUCUCUCUUCCUUGUCUUGUUUUUGGUCUUUUUGGCUGUCUCCUCUUUUUGCUGUGUUCUUACGUCCUAGCUGCUGUCAUUCCAGGUCUCUUUCCUGAGACCCAGAUCGCGGACGACACCGCCGUCGAGGUGAGCCGCGAGUAGCGCUGUGCGGCCGGGCAGGAGGUAGACGCUACCUCCGGCUGGAGCAUGGAGGAGAUCGGGGUGGGCCUUCGGGCCCGCCUGCGUGCUCUGGGCGAGUCUGUGGCUGAGCUCCAGAUCGCAGGCUCGUCGAUGGUGGCGGCCUUGUGGCCGGAAGGCGUGGAGCUGGCGUCCAUGAGCCGGCUCGCCCGCUGGCUUGCAGCAGGCGGAGAAAGCCUGGAUGCCUGGCGUGCCUGUGCUGCGCGGGAUGGGGCUUACAUGGCCCUGCGCUUGGCCAAGUCCUGGUAUCGGAACCUGGAAUUGGGUAAGCUUGCCGCCCAGCGUGAUGGCUCGGAGGUGGAGCUACAAGGCAUGGAGGAGGUGCUUCGUGUGAGGGCCAGCGACAUCACCGAGUACGCAGCCUGGGACGACUUCGUUUUGGAGCGGGGUGAAGAUGGCGGUGUGAUCGCUGAAGAUUUGCACGGCCUUCAGCCCUAUGACCCCGACGGAAGCUCCGACAAGGCGGCCCGAGCUAUGGAAUCUGCUGCCUCCUCCAGCGGUGCAGGGUACGCCGACUCCGGUGCGGACGGAGCCGGGAGCCCUCGCGAAGGAGACGGUGCAACCGCCUCGGGAGCAGCCGGAGAUGGUGAUGCUACCACAUCAGGAGCAGCGGCCGGGGCGACCGAUGAGGCCGCAGCCCCGUAGCCGGUGUCGUAUGUGUUUUGUUCUACCCCCGGAGGGAUGUAAUGAACGUGGGCCGUCGGCCAAUGCUUUUUUGAAUGUAUAUAUUCAGCAUUAUAUUCGUAUUCCCAAGCGUGUUGUCUUAUAUUCUUGUCUUUUGAUUCCUGGUUGACUCCUUUUUCGAAGCCAUCAAGACUUAAAGAACAAGACAUAAACCAACAGAGGCCGGCUUGAAUGAGAUUGCAUAUAUGAUCGAGCCAGCUCGAGCCAGCGACCCUUUGCAGCCGAACUUUGCAUGUAUCCGACGUGAUCCUGGCGUCACCUUGCAAACCAGGCGGCCCGAGCCAGCCCGCAGGCUCGUACGAGGUGACUAGGGAUCAGCCGGUUACACUUUGUGUUCUUUUACAAUAGGGAAGGCGUCCGAACGGCUAGCGAGCCCCCGAGCUUGUUAAAGCCAGCAAGGGGCGUGCGCUGCGUAGCCUCCGAGCUUGAUAAAGCCAGCAAGAGGUGUACACGGUGUAGCCCCCGAGCUUAUUGAAGCCAAUAAGGGGGCGUACACUGAGUGAAAACUCUCAAUAAAAAGAAACAUGAAGCAUGCUCUUUUUAUUGCAUUUGUUGUUGCUCCCUGAAAAGGGAGAAAGAUACAUGUGCAUGCUCUUUCCCUUGCUUGAUUCUUGCCUUCUAGCAAUAGAACGGGCAAAGCAGCGCCGCGUUCCAUGGACGUUUCGUUUCUUGAUCGGAGUCGUCCCUCUUGCGCUUCCUUGGCUUUUGGGCAUCGAUCAAGUAGUAAGCGUUGUUGUGCAACACCCUACUGAUGAUGAAGAGUCCCUCCCAUGGGGAUGAGAGUUUGUGCUGGCCAGCAGUGCGUUGGAUUCUUCUGUGGACCAAGUCUCCCUCCCUGAAAGAGAGAGGCUUGAUCUUUUUGCUGUGGUAGUAUUUCAGCUUCUGUUGAUAGAUGGCCGUCCGGCUCAAGGCCAAGUCCCUUGCUUCUUCGAGGAGAUCCACACCGUCUUCUCUUGCCUCCUUUGCCUCCGUUUCUGUGUACAGGGUGACCCGAGGCGAGUCGAACUCUAUAUCCGUGGGAAUAAUAGCCUUAGACCCGUAUACCAGAAAGAAUGGAGUGAAGCUGGUCGACCAGUUGGGCGUGGUGCGGAGGCUCCAUAGCACAGCCGGCAGUUCUUCAAUCCAGCAUCCGGCUGAUCUGACCAGUGGUGCCACCAGUCUUGGCUUGAUGCCGGCCAGAAUUAGGCCGUUGGCCCUCUCUGCUUGGCCGUUCGACUGAGGGUGCGCCACUGAUGCCAAAUCGAGCCGGAUGCCUACCUUGGAACAGUAGAGCGCUAGAGCGCCCUUGGCGAAAUUGGUGCCGUUGUCGGUGACGAUGCUGUGGGGAACGCCAUAUCAAACAGAUAAGUUUGUGCUGAACUUGACAGCGGUGGGGCCAUCAAGCUUCUUGAUAGGUCUGGCUUCGAUCCACUUGGUGAUCUUGUCGAUGGCCACCAAGAGAUGCGUCAUCCCACCGCGAGCCAUCUUGAAGGGCCCUACCAUGUCCAGUCCUGAGACGGCGAAUGGCCAUGAUAGAGGGAUGGUUUUGAGGGCUGAAGGCGGCAUAUGGCUCUUCACGUUGAAGAAUUGGCAGCCUUCGCACUUGUCGACCAGAUCCACGACCUCCUCGAGAGCCGUGGGCCAGUAGAAUCCGUGGCGGAAUGCCUUGGCCACCAGGGUUCUGGAGGCGGCGUGAUGCCCACACUCCCCCUGGUGAAUGUCUCUGAGGAUCUCCUGUCCCUUUUCUGAUUCGACGCAGCAUUGGAACACGCCGGUCAUGCUGCGCCGUACCAGUCCGCGAUUGAUGAUGGCGUAGGCGGUAGACCUGCGCUGGAUCUGUCUCGCCUCCGCCUUGUUCUGAGGAAGUUCGCUGCGAAGAAGGAAGGUCAGAAUAGUUUGAGCCCAUGAUGGAGCCGACACAAGGGUCGCCUCCGCCUCGUCUUGACUGUUGGGAGCUUCUGCAGCCCCCGAGCUUGAUGGAGCCGCGGCUGUAGGCUCGACACAAGGUGUCUCUGGUGCUGUCGUGGCAGCUGGCUCACCGUCUACUUCCAUGACGUCCACCCACUGGGUGUCUUGACGACAGGAUUCGAGUCCAGGCAGAGCCAGGGUUGUUGUCGUAGCCGGUGCCGCCAUUGAAGUCGGCGGGGCAAAUAGAGCCGGCAAAGGAACUAUAGCCGGCGUAGUUGGUGGAGCCGACAGUGCUUGCACGGCGGAUUCAACCGGUGCCGCUAUUGGAGUCGGCGUAGUCAGCGUAGCCGGCGUGGGAACCGCAGCCGGCGUCGCUGAUGGAGCCGACGGCGCUUGCAUCGUAGAGUCAGCCGGCACAAAAAUCGAUGCCGACUCGGGAGACGGCUUAUGGAGUUGCUCGAGGGAGACGCCGGCUGGAAUGGCCUGACUCGUGGGGCCGAUCUUCGCCACUGUAUCGGCCGCCUCAUUUUCUGCCCUGGGAACAUGGUGAAACUCACAGCCCUCGAAGGGGCCGCUGAGCUGCUGAAUGAGGAAGCGGUAGCUUGCCAUGUUGGCGUCCCUGGCAUCCCAUUCGCCAGAGACCUGCUGCACCACCAAUUCUGAAUCGCCGAAGCAUAUGAGCCGCCGGAUGCCGAUCUCCUUGGCAAGCCGGAGGCCGUGAGCAAGUGCUUCGUACUCAGCGACGUUGUUGGAGGCGGAGAAACGGAUCUGGAGUGCAUACUUGAGCUGGUCCCCUUUCGGAGACGUCAAGAUGAUGCUGGCUCCCAGUCCUGUCCGCAUCUUUGAGCCAUCGAAGUGCAUCCGCCAAUGCGUGGAGUCUGGAGGUGGUGGCUCAAACUGGGUCUCGGCCCAGUCGACUAAGAAGUCGGCCACCACCUGAGAUUUGAUGGCGGUACGAGGCUCGUACCAGAUAUCGUGAUCCGCCAUAGCGAUGGACCAUUUGGCAAUCUUGCCCAUGGCAUCACGGUUGCCCAUGAUCUCUGAAAGUGGAGCAGUGCUCACCACGGUGAUGGCAUGCUCUUGGAAGUAUUGCUUCAACUUCUUUGCAGCAAGGUAAACACCAUAACACAUUUUUUGAUAAUGUGGAUAGUUCUGCUUAGAGGCGGACAAGACUUUGCUAAGGUAAUAGAUGGGGUGCUUCACUGGCAGUGCCUUGCCCUCCUCUUUACGCUAAACUACCAACACUAUGCUAACCACGCCAGUAGUCGCCACAAUGUAUAUGAGUAUGGGUUCCCUUUCAGACGGCGCUGCCUAGAUUGGAAGGCUCGAGAUUACUCGCUUGAGGUCGCUGAAGGCUUCGUCCGCCUGGUCGUUCCACUCGAACUUCGUUGUCUUCUUCAUGAGUUGAUAGAGUGGAAGGGCCUUCUCGCCAAGCCGGCUGACGAACCGGCUAAGGGACACCAAGCAGCCGACGAACUUCUAGACGUCGAGGAUUCGGGCCGGUCGCACCAUCCUCUUGAUGGUGCCGAUUUUCUCGGGGUUUGCUUUGAUACGGCGAGCGGACACGAAGAACCCCAAGAGUUCGCCGCCUGGAACCCCGAAGAUGCACUUCUCCGGGUUGAGCCGGAUCUUGUACUCACGCAGAUUGGCGAACGUCUCCCGCAAGUCGUCGAGGAGGCUGAAGUGCUGCUUCAUCUUGACAACGAUGUCAUCCACAUAGACGUGGAUGUUUCUGCCUAUCUGUGGCAGUAGGCACUGCUGCAUGCAGCGUUGGAACGUUUCACCUAUGUUCUUCAGACCGAACGUCAUGGUGGUGUAGCAGUAGGCCCCGAAGGGCGUGAUGAAGGAGGUCUUCAGGCGAUCAGCUGGAUCUAGCUUGAUUUGAUGGUAGCCUGAAUAAGCAUCCAGAAACGAGAGCAAUUCGCAGCCUGCAGUGGAGUCGAUCACUUGAUCUAUCCUAGGCAACGCGAAAGGGUCUGUCGGACAGGCCUUAUUCAGGCUAGUGUAGUCAAUACACAUUUGCCAUGUGUUGUUCUUCUUCAGCACCAGGACUGGAUUAGCCAGCCAGUCCUGGUGGAAAACCUCCAUGAUGAAGCCGGUUGCAAGGAGCCGGUUUAUCUCUUCCCGAUCGUGCGUCGCUUCCCCUCGGCGAAGCGGCGCAAGGGUUAUUUCACCGGUUUUGCAACCGGUCGCACGUGAAGUUUGUGCUCGGCGUACUUCCUCGGAACACCCGGCAUGUCCUUGGGGGACCAUGCAAAGAUGUCCCGAUUCUCACGGAGGAAGUCGACGAGCUCGCCUUCCUAUUUGGGGCUGAGGCUAGCCCCGAUGGUGACGCACUGCUUUGGGUUGGCAGGGUCGAGUGGGACCUGCUUGGUCUCUUUAGCCGGCUUGAAAGAGCCCUCGCCGGCCCAUUGGGACGGAGGAGAAGGAAUCGCCGGCUGCUUAGUAGCCUGGGCCACGAGCCGGUUGAUCUGCCGCUUCUCCUCAGCAAUCACCAAGGCGUCGGCGAGGCGGCUGCUAUCUUGGGCACAAUCGAGCGACUUCUUGUAGUCGCCAACAACAGUGAUGAUGCCCUUGGGACCCGGCAUCUUCAUCUUCAGGUAGGCGUAACGCGGAAUAGCCAUAAACUUGGCCAGAGCCGGUCUUCCCAGCAGCGCGUGGUACGGGCUACUGAGAUCCACUACCUCGAACCAUAUGGACUCUCGGCGAAAGUGGGCUUUGUCGCCGAAGAGGACGUCCAGCUGGAUCUUGCCAAUGGGCGAGCACGACUGCCCAGGCACGAUGCCAUGGAAGACAGUACUGGUCGGUAGGACGUCCGUCUCCUUGAGUCCGAGCUUGAGGAGAGUAUCGAGGUAGAGGAUGUUGAUGCUGCUGUCGCCGUCGACCAACACCCGGGAGAAUCGUUAAGUGAGCCUCUUGGAGGCGAAGGUGGGGUCGAGGACGAGUGCGUAUGAUCCCGAGUUGGGCAUCACCGCAGGAUGGUCCACCUGGCUCCAUGUGAUUGGUUUGUUGGACCAAUGCAUGUACUCGGGAACCGGGGGGACAGUGGCGUUUACCUUGCGCCGCCUCUGGCGCAGGUUGUGCUUGUCGUCGCCUUUGCUGGUGAAGACGACGAACAGUCCGUCUUGAUGAGGGUAGUCGUCUUGGUGAUGACCGUCGUCGCGAGGCGGCGACGGCGGAGCCGGAGCGUGGUUGGGAGCCGGUGCACGAGGGGCCGCCUGUGCACCUGGAGGAGCCGGCAGGCCAUCCCCUUGCGACAGCCGAUGCGCAAAGCUGCACUGUCGAAGGGUGUGGGAAGACGGCUGCGCCCCAGAAUGUAUCUUGCAGGGGGCGUCGAGCAGCUGCUCGAAGGACUGUUUGGGCAGCCAGUUGGUGUUGCUUCUGUUGGGUCGCUUUCGUGGAGGGCCGGCUUGAGGAGCCGAUGUUUCGCCCUCUACGCUGGCCACCAACUUGCUGUUGGAGCGGGGAUCCAUUUGAUCUGCCUUGCGCUUGUAGUUGUUCUGGCCGCCUCGGUUGUCCCCAGCCUGCUUGGGAGUAGCCGGCGUAGGCACAACCUUGUCCAAGGCGGUCACCUUGACGCGCAUUGCUGAGUCGGCCGUGGCGUAUUUGCCCGCCAUGGCCAUGAGCACCGCCAAAGAGGUGGGCUCGGUGCAAAUGAGCUUGUGCUUGAGGAGGGUGCCGUCCCGGCAAUCGUUGAUGAAGUACUGGAUGGCUUGUACCUCAUCCACCCCCUCGCAGGAAUUACGGAGCUCAGUCCACCGGAUGACGUUGUCGCGAAGGGGUUCGUCGGCCUUCUGGAUGCACAUGGCCAGCUCGCGGGGCCGGCCAGGUUGCUUGUAGGUGCCAGUGAAGUUUCGGACGAACGCCUCCUCGAAGUCCACCCAGGAGUUGACACUGCUGGCCGGGAGGCUGUUAAGCCAAGUCCAGGCCGAGGCGGUCAACAUGAGUGGCACGUAGCGGACUGCUACGCACUGGUUGCCCCUGGCAAUGCUGAUGACCAUGGUGUAGUCAAUCAGCCAGUCCUCUGGCUUGGCCGUGCCAUUGUAUUUUGGCGUGUCCCGAGGAAGGGUGAAGCCUCGGGGGAACGGCUCCCCUCGGAUCCGGGGGCCGAAGCAGGCCGGACCGACGGGACCGUCUUCCUCUAGGAGGGUUGGCUGGGCCAGGACGAUGAGACGUCGGCGAGCGUCCCGAUCAUCCUGGGCGGUGUGAGCGCCAACCCUAGUGACGAGAGGGGAGGCGCCUCGCGAACCAGAGACGUGAGUUCUUCGCGGGGGAAGAAUCUCACACUCCAAAUCGCCCUCGUCGCCUUCGCGACGCAAGCCCGAAGUGUGCUUGCUCUGGCGCUGAGAGCGCCGGUCUUGGCUUCCCUCGCCCCUCCGGCCGGAAGGGCGAUGCGAGGAAGAUCCUUCCGCAUGAUGCUGACCGCUAGGGUUGCGGCAUGCCCCGGGGUUGGGUCCCGGGGACUCCGACUGAGCCUGACUAGGGUCACAUCGAGCGUGUUGUUGGUUGGCGGCAUCAAGGAGGUCCUUGACCUGCUUCUCCUGGAAAGCAUGCUCAUCGCCUUCCAGUUUCGCCAUCUCCUCCAUGGCUGCCUGAGCCGCUCGCAUGUUGGCUGCACGGGUCUCGCAGGUGGGCAGAUCGCCACCUAGGACUUCGGCGAUGAACCGGCCGUGGCUGCGGACCGAUCCAAGCCGGCUAGAGGCCUCGGAAAUCGGAGUAAGGCCGUAUGUGGAGUUAUACUCGUGCUGAGUAGCCUUCAUACGACGUUUUGCCGAAGCCAGAACAAUGCCUUCCUCCAGGAAACGCUUGCGAGCCUCCUCCAGCGAGGCCCGAGCAUCAGCAGGGUUGGUGGAAGCGGUGACGGGUGUCUUCAGGCCAGCGAUGGCGUCCCGAAGAGUAUCGGCAGUGGCAGCGGUAGGCUCGCCAGCGCCUGCCGAGGCCUUGUCGGGAGCUGUGCUGGUUCCGGCGCCUAUAACCAUCACUUUCAAGGUGUUGGAGACGGCAGCAACAUGGUAUGGGGUGAAGAACCGCACCGACGGUGGUUGGCCAUCAAAGAUGAGGACAUUGCUGGGAUAUACGUCGUGGGCAGGCAUCUCAGCGAUAGAGAGCCUGCUGAAGCUGGCGCAGAGCGCCUCAACGUCGAAGUCCUCGCCGAAGUAGCGCAGACCGUCAUUGAGACGUAGGUCGCUAAAGAGAACGCUGAGGUUCUCCAUAGCAGCGACGACGAUGCUAGGGAGCGCCUCGUCAUCGGAAUCUUCAUCCGAAUCCGCAUGGCGGACGGGGACGUCCAUCAUCAUGGGUGUUGCCUCGUCGAAAGCGGGCUCCACGGGCAUGCAAACUGAUCCGGACGCGAUGCAUCCGGUGGUUUAGGUGCGGGGCCCCGCCCAGCGCGUAAAGCCAGCCGAUGCCGCGAUUGGCCCCAUGGUGGGCGCCAAAUGUUGGUGCAUACUCACAACAUAUGCCAUAGGUAGGCUAAAGUCGGUGAGAACCUAAGGGACAAAGGUGGACGCUGGGAACGAGGUUGGUACACGCAUGCGACGCACGAUGUACCCAGGUUCAGGGCUCUCCGUAGACAUAAUACCCCUAAUCCUGCCGGAGUGUUUGAUGUGUAUGAACAGAGUACAUGGUUGCUCCUGGAGCUGUAUUGGGAGGAGGAAGAGGGGAGCAGCCGGCUCGUCUCUGCCUCUCUCUGUGGUUGGUGAGCGUAUAGUGCUGUUCGAUUGUGGAAUGAUCGCCCCCCUUGCAUGGAGGGCGACCUACAAUAUGGAUAAAGGGUACAAGUGUGGGACCCGGCUGGCAGCCUCGUCAGCUGGCCAGGGGCCACUAGAGUCUUGUCUUGUCGCUUGAGGGACCUGCCGGCUGCAUGGUCUCGAUUGGCAGUGGGACCCGCCGGCUGGCCAGUGAGGCUCUCGCGUAAGGUUGACGCCGAGCACGCGCUGUACGUCAAGCGUCGCCCCGCGAGAUUCGUCAUGGGCAGGUAGUAUGGCCGCCUCCACUGUUCCCCACGUCGAGUGCAGUAAUGGAGUGGGAGUGUGACGGUCCAACACUAUGCUGGGUGAUGGAUCAGAGCCGGGGUAGGUCAGCGGCGUGGCCGCCGACGCUCGUACCUGCCGGGCACCCCGAUCCAGUACCUUUUGCUGACGCGUAGCUACCUUUAAUCGUAGGGUCUCAUCCUGACCUACGAUCUGAUGUGACUUGUGAUCUUUGGCUGGCUAGCCUACUUGGCUAGCCGGCUGGGGCACGGCCGCCUCCUUCUGAGCCGGGCUGGCGGGACUAGGCCGGCUCAGGAGAGCUAGCUGCCUCGACUCUAACCGGCGGGGGUUGCCUGGCCGGCCAUAGGAAUGGCCGCCUCGUCCUCUAGCCGGUAGGCAUUGCCUAGCCGUCCGAAAGACUUGGGCCUUGGGAAUAAGUAUACGUUCAUGUCCUUUGGGCUGGAAAUGAAGGAGCAGGCUUGAUGAGCCUACCCCGUGGUUAUCCCCCCGACAGGGAUGGCCGGAGCCUCCACUAAAUCCAAAGGCGGAUUUGAGGUGGGAAGGAAAGAAACCCAACGAUGGAAAAGGUGGAAAGGGUUUCCAAGUGGAGAGGAGGAAUCCUACUCCUAGUAGGAUUGGAGUAGGACUCCUCCACCUCUAAUUUCGGCCAAACCUUGAGGGUUUGAGGCUGCCUCCUCCCCUCCCUCCCUUCUAUAUAUACUAGAGGUUUUAGAGGUGAGGCUAGCCCUAAUUGCCACGUGCUCCCUCUACUUCAUCUAGAUCGGUUUCUCCUCUAGUCUAGUUCGGCGGUGCUUAGGCGAAGCCCUGCUGGUUUAGUUCACCACCACCACCACCACGCCACCGUGUUGGAGAACUCAUCUACAUAUCCACACCUCUUGCUGGAUUAAGAAGGCGGGGAUCGUCAUCGAGCUGUACGUGUGCUGAACGCGGAAGUGCCUUCCGUUCGGCACUAGAUCGGGACGGAUCAUGAUGAGAUCGCGAGACGGGCUGCGAUUUGGAUCACGAAGAUGUUCCACUACAUGAACCGCGUUAUAUACGCUUCCUCUUAGCGAUCUACAAGGGUGUGUAGGUGCACUCUCCGCUCUCGUAGAUGAUCACCACCAUGGAUAGGUAUUGUGUGUGCGUAGGAAUUUUUUUGUUUCCCAUGCAACCUCUCCCCAACAGUGGCGUCAUGAGUUAGGUUCAUGCGUAGAUGAUAUCUCGAGUAGAACACAAAAGAGCUUGUGGGUGUUGAUGUUCAAUUUGCUGCCCUCCUUAGUCUGUUCUUUAUUCGACAGUAUUGUUGGAUUGAAGUGGCCCGGACCAACUUUACUCGUACGCUUACGAGAGACCGGUUUCAUCGGCUGACAUGCAACUUGUUGCAUAAAGAUGACUGGCGGGUGUUUAUUUCAUCAACUUUAGUUGAAUUGGGUUUGGACGACGCGGUGCUUGGAGAAGGUUAAAUAUAAAAUUGCAUAUCACCAUUGUGGCUUUGCGUAAGUAAGAUGCGAUCAUAGUAGAUACCCAUAGCAGCUACGUAAAACAUGCAACAAGAAAUUAGAGGACGUCUAACUUGUUUUUGCAGGGUAUGCAUGUGAUGUGAUAUGGCCAAAUACAUGAUAUGAUAUAUUGGAUGUAUGAGAUUAUCAUGUUGUAAUAGUUAAAUAUCGACUUGCACGUCGAUGGUAUGGCAACCGGCAGUAGCCAUAGGGUUGUCUUUAAACUAAUGUUUGUGCUUGCAGAUGCUUUUACUAUAUCGCUAGGUUGCAUCUUUAGUAGUAAUAGCAUAGAUAGCGCGACAACCUCGAUGGAGGCACGAUGAUGGAGAUCAUGAUAAUGAAGAUCAUGGUGCAGCGCUGGUGACGAUGAAGAUUAUGCCGGUGCUUUGGUGAUGGAGAUGAAGAAUCAUGAGUUCAUGGCCAUAUCAUGUCACUUAUGAUUUGCAUGUGAUGUUAAUCCUUUUAUGCACCUUGUUUUUCUUAGGACGACGGUAUCAUUAUAAGGUGAUCUCUCACUAAAAUUUCAGGAUAAAAUUGUAUUCUCCCCGACUGUGCACCGUUGCGACAGUUCAUCGUUUCGGGACACCACGUGACGAUCGGGUGUGAUAGACUCAACGUUCACAUACAAAGGGUGCAAAACAGCUGCACACGCGGAACACUCGGGUUAAACUUGACAUGCCUAGCAUGUACAGACAUGGCCUCAGAACACAAGAGACCGAAAGGUCGAUCAUGAAUCAUAUAGUUGUUAUGAUCAACAUGGAGAUGAUCACCAUUGAAGCUAAACUCAACUCACGUGAUGAUAGUGAAUUUGGAUCAUGCGAAACUCGAAUGACUAGAGGGAUCUCAAUUUGAGUGGGAGUUCUUACCUAAUAUGAUUAAUUGCACUCAUUAUCAUGAACAUAGUCGAAAGGUCUUUGGAAAUUAUGUUGUAGCUUGCAAUGUAGCUCUACUGUUUUAGAUAUGUUCCUAGAGAAAAUUUAUUUGAAAGUUGAUAGUAGCAAUUAUGCGGUCUUGGUCCGUAAAUUGAGGAUUGUCCUCAUUGCUCCGCAGAAGGCUUAUGUCCUUAAUGCACCGCUCAGUGUGCUGAACCUCGAGCGUCGUCUGUGGAUGUUACGAACAUUUGACAUACAUGUUUUUGAUGAGUACGUGAUAGUUCAAUGCGUAAUGCUUAACGGCUUAGAAUUAAGGCACCGAAGACGUUUUAAACGUCACGGAACAUAUGAGAUGUUUCAAGAGAUGAAAUUGGGAUUUCAUGCUCGUGCCCUUGUUGAGAGGUAUGAGACCCCCGACAAGAUUCUUUGUCUACAAAGUAAGGGAGAAAAUCUCAAUCGUUGAGCGUGUGCUCAGAUUGUUUGGGUGCUAUGAUUGAUUUAAUCGAGUGGGAGUUGAUCUCCAGAUGAGAUAGUGAUGGUUCUCCAAAAUCACUACCACCAAGCUACUAGAGCUUCGUGAUGAACUAUAACAUAUCAAGGAUAGAUAUGAUGAUCCUUGAGCUAUACGCGAUGUUUGACACCGCGAAAGUAGAAAUCAAAUAGAAGCGUCAAUUGUUGAUGGCUAGUAAAACCACUGGUUUCAAGAAGGGCAAGGGCAAGAAGGUUUACUUCAUGAAACGGCAAACCAGUUGCUGCUCAAGUGAAGAGACCCAAGGUUGAACCUAAACACGAGACUAACUGCUUCUGUAAUGAGGGGAACAGUCAUUGAAGAGGAACUACCCUAGAUACCUGGUAGAUGAGAAGGCUGGCAAAGUCGACAACUGUAUAUUGGAUAUACAUGAUAUUGGUGUGUACUUUACUAGUACUCCUAGUAGCAUCAGGGUAUUAGAUACUGGUUCGGUUGCUAAGUGUUAGUAACUCGAAAUAAAAGCUACGGAAUAAACGAAGACUAGCUAAGGGCGAGGUGACGAUAUGUGUUGGAAGUGUUUCCAAGUUUGAUGUGAUCAAACAUUGCACGCUCCCUCUACCAUCGGGGAUUAGUGUUGAACCUAAAUAAAUGUUAUUUGGGGUUUGCAUUGAGCAUGAACAUGAUUAGAUCAUGUUUAUUUCAAUGCGAUUAUUCAUUUAAAGAGAAUAAUGGUUAUUCUAUUUGCUUGAAUAAAUACCUUCAAUGGUUUAUUGAAUCUCGAUCGUAGUGAUACACAUGUUCAUGAUAUUGUUUCCAAAAGAUACAAAGUAGUAAUGAUAGUACCACUUACUUGUGGCACUGGCGCUUGAGUCAUAUUGGUGUAACACGCAUGAAGAAGCUCUAUACUGAUGGAUCUUUGGACUCACUCGUUUUUAAUCGUUUGAGACAUGCGAACCAUGCCUAUUGGUGUAAACGCAUGAAGAAACUCCAUGCAGAUGGAUUGUUUAGACUCACUUGAUUUUGAAUCACUUGAGACAUGCAAAUCAUACCACAUGGGCAAGAUGACUGAAGGCCUCGUUUUCCAGUGAGAUGGAACAAGAAAGUAACUUAUUGGAAGUAAUACAUUUUGAUGUAUGCAGUCCAAUGAGUGCUGAGGCACGCAGUGGAUAUCGUUAUGUUUUUACCUCACAGAUGAUUUGAGUAGAUACUAGUGUAUUUUCUUGAUGAAACACACGUCUGAAUUAUUGAAAAGUUCAAGUAAUUUCAGAGUGAAGUUGAAGAUCGUCGUGAUAAGAGGAUAAAAUGUCUACGAUAUGAUCAUAGAGAUGAAUAUCUGAGUUGCGAGUUUGGUACACAAUUAAGACAAUGUGAAAAUUGUUUCACAUCUCAUGCCACCUAGAACACCAUAGUGUGAUGGUGUGUCCGAACGUCAUAGUCGCGCCCUAUUUGAUAUGGUGCAUACUAUGAUGUCUGUGAUCGAAUUACCACUAUCGUUUAUGGGUUAUGCAUUGGAGACAACUGCAUUCACUUUUAAUAGGGCACCAUGUAAUUCCGUUGAGAUGACACCGUAUGAACUAUGGUUUGGAGAAACCUAAGCUGUCGUUUCUUAAAAGUUUGGGGCUGCGACGCUUAUGUGAAAAAGUUUUAGCGUGAUAAGCUCGAACCCAAAGCGGAUAAAUGCAUCUUCAUAGGACACCCAAAAUAGUUGGGUAUACUUCCUGUCUUAGAUUCCGGAAACAAAGUGUUUGUCUCUAGAAAUGGGUCCUUCCUCGAGAAAAAGUUUCUCUCGAAAGAAUUGAGUGGGAGGAUGGUGGAAAUUUGAUGAGGUUAUUAAACUGCCACAUCAACCAAAGUGUAGCAGGGCGCAGGAAGUUGUUCGUGUGGCGCCUAUACCAAUUGAAUUGGAAGCAUAAUGAUAGUGAUCAUGAAGCUUCAGAACAAGUUACUACAAAACUUGUUGGUCGACAAGGUCACGUAGUGCUCCAGAAUGGUACGGUAACCCUGUCUUCGAGGUCAUGUUGUUGGACAACAAUUAACCUACGAGCUGUGGAGAAGCGAUGGUGGGCCCGGAUUCUGACAAAUGGUUGGGGGCCAUGAAAUCCGAGAGAGGAUCUAUGUAUGAAAACAAAGUGUGGACUUUGGAAGAACUACUUGAUGGUCGUAAGACUGUUAAGUACAGAUGGAUCUUUAAAAGGAAGACAAACGAUGAUGGUGAAAAGUCAUAGUUAAGAAAGCUCGACUUGUCACAAAGAUGUUUUCGACAAAUUCAAGGAGUUGACUAUGAUGAGAAUUUCUCACUCAUAGCGAUGCUAAAAGUAUGUUGGAAUUAUGUUAGCAGUUGCUGCAUUAUUUUUGAAAUCCUGCAGAUAGGAUGUCAAAACAUUGUUUCCUCGACGGUUUCCUUGAGGAAAGCUUGUAUGUGAUACAACCAGAAGGUUUUGUCGAUCCUAAGGAUGCUAACAAGUAUGCAAGCUCCAGCGAUCCUUCUAUGGUCUGGAGCAAGCAUCUCGGAGUUGGAAUAUACGCUUUGAUGAGAUGAUCAAAGUUUUGGGGUUUAUACAAGGUUUGUGAGAAACUUGUAUUUCCAAAGAAGUGAGUGGGAGCACUAUAGAUUUUCUGAUGAGUAUAUGUGAUAGACAUAUUGUUGAUCGGAAAUAAUGUAGAAUUCCUGGAAAGCAUAAAGGGUUGUUUGAAAGGUGUUUUUCAAAGUUAAACCUGGAUUAAGCUACUUGAACAUUGACCAUCAAGAUCCAUGGAGAUAGAUCAAAGCGCUUAACAAAACUUUCAAACGAAAUGCAUGCCUGACAAGUUUUUGAAGGAGUUCAAAAAUAGAUCGGCAAGAAGGAGUUCUUGGCUGUGUUGAAAGGUGUGAAUUUGAGUAGGACUCAAAGCUCGACCACGGCAUAAUAAAGAGGAAGGACGAAGGUCGCCCCCUAUGCAUUAGCCGUAGGCUCUAUAGUAUGCUAUGCUUUGUACCGCACCUGAUGUGUGCCUUGCCAUGAAUCUUUCAAGGGGUACAGAAGUGAUCCAUGAAUGGAUUACUGGACAGCGGUCAAAAGUUAUCCUUAGUAACUAGUGGACUAAGGAAUUUUCUCGAUUAUGGAGGUGAUAAAAGAGUUUGUCGUAAAGGGUUACGUUAAUGCAAGCUUUGACUCUAAUCCGGAUGACUUUGAGUAGUAAACCGGAUUCGUAUAGUCGAGCACUCAUUUGGAAUAGUUUCAAAUGGCGAGUAGUAGUAGCAUCUAUAGUAUGACAUAGAGAUUUAUAAAGCACACACAAAUCUGAAAGGUUCAGACCUAUUGCCUAAAAAACCUCUCUCACAAGAAAGACAUGAUCGAACCCGAGAACUGUAUGGGUGUUAGAUUCUUUACAAUCACAUAGUGAUGUGAACUAGAUUAUUGACUCUAGUGCAAGUGGGAGACUGUUGGAAAUAUGCCCUAGAGGCAAUAAUAAAUUAGUUAUUACUAUAUUUAUUUGUUCAUGAUAAUCAUUUAUUAUCCAUGCAAGAAUUGUAUUGAUUGGAAACUCAAAUACAUGUCUGGAUACAUAGACAACACACUGUACCUAGUGAGCCUCUAGUUGACUAGCUCGUUGAUCAAAGAUGGUCAAGGUUUCCUGGCCAUAGACAAGUGCUGUCACUUGAUAACGGGAUCACAUGAUUAGGAGCAUGAUGUGAUGGACAAGACCCAAACUAUGAACGUAGCAUAUGAUCGUGUCAGUUUAUUGCUACUGUUUUCUGCAUGUCAAUGUAUCUGUUCCUAUGACCAUGAGAUCAUGCAACUCCCGGACACCGUAGGAAUACCUUGUGUGUCAUCAAACAUCGCAACGUAACUGCGUGACUAUAACGAUGCUCUACACGUAUCUCCAAAGGUGUCUGUUGGGUUGGCAUGGAUCAAGACUGGGAUUUGUCACUCCGUGUGACUUAGAGGUAUCUCGGGGCCCACUCUGUAAUACAACAUCACAAUAAGCCUUGCAAGCAAUGUGACUAAGAAGUUAGUCAUGGGAUCUUGUAAUACGGAAUGAGUAAAGAGAAUUACCGGUAACGAGAUUGAACUAGGUAUAGAGAUACCGGGGAUCGAAUCUCGGGUAAGUAACAUACCAAAGGACAAAGGGAUCAACAUACGGGAUUAACUGAAUCCUUGACAUAGAGGUUCAACCGAUAGAGAUCUUCGUAGAAUAUGUAGGAGCCAAUAUGGAAAUCUAGGUCCCGCUAUUGGUUAUUGACCGGAGAAUGGCUCAGGUCAUGUGUGGAUAGUUCUCGAACCCGCAGGGUCUGUACACUUAAGGUUCAGUGACGUUUUUGGUAUAGUUGAGUUAUAGGUGUUGGUAACCGAAGGUUGCUUGGAGCCUGAUACGUCUCCAACGUAUCUACUUUUCCAAACUCUUUUUCCCUUGUUUUGGACUAUAAUUUGCAUGAUUUGAAUGGAACUAACUUGGACUGACGCUGUUUUUAGCAGAAUUGCCUUGGUGUUAUUUUUGUGCAGAAAUCAAAGUUCUCCAAACGUCCUGAAAAUUUACGGGGAGCACUUUUGGAAAAUAUCCAAAAUACGUGCGCGAGGAUCCACCUGAGGGGGUGGGCUAGUGGGCCACAAGCCCCUGCUCCGCCACCACCCCCUGGUGGCGGUGGGCAGGCUUGUGGGGCCCACAGGCCUCUGCCGCUCCCAACUCCAGCUCUAUAAGUUGUCUUUCGUCCCAGAAAAAAUAAAAAAGAGAAGUGUUCGUCGCGUUUUCGAUACGGAGGCGCCGCCACCACCUGUUAUUCAUCUAGAGGGCAGAUCUGGAGUCCGUCUUGGGCUCCAGAGAGGGGAAAUCGUCGCCAUCGUCAUCAUCAACCUUCUUCCCUCUCCAAUUCCAUGAAGCUCUUCGUCGUUCGUGAGUAAUCUAUUCGUAGGCUCGCUGGGCGGUGAUGAGUAGGAUGAGAUCUAUCAUGUAAUCGAGUUAGUUUUGAUGGGGAUUGAUCCCUAGUAUCCACUAUGUUCUGAGAUUGAUGUUGCUACUACUUUGCCAUGCUUAAUGCUUGUCACUAGGGCCCGAGUGCCAUGAUUUCAGAUCUGAAAUUAUUAUGUUGUCACCAAUAUAUGUGUGUUUUAGAUCCGAUCUUGCGAGUUGUAGUUACUUACUAUGUGUUAUGAUCCGGUAACCCCGGAGUGACAAUAACCGAAACCACUCCCGGUGAUGACCAUAGUUUGAGGAGUUCAUGUGUUCACCAACUGCUAAUGCGUUGGUCCGGUUCUUUAUUAAAAGGAGAACCUUAAUGUCCCGUAGGUUCCUUUUGGACCCCGCUGCCACGGGAGGGAUGGACAAUAGAUGUCAUGCAAGUUCUUUUCCCUAAGCACGUAUGACGACACACGGAAUGCAUGCCUACAUCACAUUGACGAACGGGAGCUAGCCACUUAUCUCUCCGUGUUAUAGCUGUUGCAUGAUGAAUAUCAUCCAAACAAAUCACCGACCCAAUGCCUACGAGUUUGUCCUACUAUUGCUACUACUGCUGUUACUUGUCUUGCUCUGCUACUACUGUUGCUACUUCUGUCGUUACUUGUCUUGCUCUGCUACUACUGUUGCUACUGCCGUUACUUGUGUUGCUCUGCUGCUACUACUAUUGCUACUACUGCCAUUACUUGUCUUGCUCUGCUGCUACUACUGUUGCUACUGCUCUUAUUUGUUUUGCUGUGCUGCUACUGUUGCUACUACUGUCGCUUGGUACUGUUGCUACUUGCUACUGCUGUCACUACUGCUGUUCCUUGCCACUGCUAUUGCUUGUUCCACUGUCGAUAUCCGUUACUUCGCUGUUACUACUUCGCUGUUACUAUUGUGCUUGCAGAUACUAAUCUUUCAGGUGUGGUUGAAGCUGACAAAUUCAGCUGCUAAUACUUGAGAGUAUACUCUCACCUCCUGUCUCGCGUACCUACAAAUUGGGUCGAAUACUCUACCCUCGAAAACUGCUGCGAACCCACGCGUUGGUGGGCCAUCAACAACAUUCUUCCAGUUUCAUUGUCGGGGAGUGCUAUCAGCAUUCUUCUGGUGCCGUUGCAGGAGAAGGUUAGUUGUUAUAAGCAUUCGUCUAGCUAACACUAGAGAUUGCAGGAUCAACACUUUUCUGGAGCCAUUGCCAGAGAAGCACAGCUGACGUCAGCAUUUUUCUGGCGCCGUUGCCGGGGAGGUAUUGCUAUAUUCUCUGAGUUACUUGUGAUUUAUAUUUGCUGAUCACUAUGAAGAAUCUGAAGGAUCCGAAGACCAAAGUCUUGCCCUCAACUAUGAGGGGAGGUAAGGAAUUUCCAUCUAGGUCUGCACUUGAUUCACGUUCGGUUAUGAGUAAGUUUGCGACAUCACCUCCUGCUAGAAAUCUUGAUAUGUCGCCUGUGCUUGAUGAUGCUUGUGAUACUACUGCUAGAGAUGCUAUGCCUGAUACUAUGCCUGAUGAUGCUAUGCCUGAUGAUGCUAUGCCUGAUACUAUGCUUGAUACUAUGCUUGAUACUGCUAGAGAUGCUAUGCUUGAUACUGCUUUUCCUGAUGAUGCUAGAGAUGCUAUUUUGCCUAAUGAUGCUAUGCUUGAUACUGCUAGAGAUACUCCUUUGCCUGAUGUUCCACUGGGAGCAUUCCUUGACGCUCAUAUUGCUAGAGUUACUGCCAAUGCUCGUGAUGCUUCUGAUAUUGCCGAUGCUAUUGAGAUAGAACCUGCUUUUGCUCCUGUUAGACCUAGCUCUCCUAGAUAUGAAUUGCCUGUUAUACCUGAGGGUUACGUUAUGGAGGGAGAGAUAGCUGAGAAUUUUCUUGCGUGUAAGGAUGCCUAUGACGCUGAGAAAUUAGUUCUCAAGUGGAAGGAAAAAUCUCGGGAAGUUAGGAUGAAAAAUGAUCCGAAGUUUGCCACUUCGCCUAUCUUUGUCACCGAUAAGGAUUAUGAAUUCUUUGUCGACCCUGAGAUAAUCUCUCUAGUCGAAUCUGAUCCUUUUCACGGUUAUGAGUCUGAGACUGUCAUAGCCCAUCUUGCCAAACUAUCCGAAAUAGCCAACCUUUUCACUAAUGAGGAGAAGAUCCGCCACUACUAUAUCCUUAAGCUGUUUGCUUUCUCUCUAAAGGAUGAUGCUAAAGCCUGGUUCACCUCUCUUGCUCCUGGAUGUGUGCGUAGUCCCCAGGAGAUGGUCUAUUACUUCUGUGAGAAAUAUUUCCCUGCCCAUAAGAAGCAAGCUGCCUUGCAGGAAAUAUACAACUUUGCUCAACUCCAAUAAGAGAGUCUUCCACAAGCUUGGGGGAGGCUCGUCCAGCUACAGAAUGCUUUGCCUGAUCACCCUCUCAAGAAGAGCGAGAUACUUGAUAUCCUCUAUAACGGACUUACCGAUGCCUCUAAAGACCAUCUAGAUAGUUGUGCCGGUUGUGUUUUUAGGGAACGAACUGUAGAACAAACCGAGACUCUACUGAAUAACAUCUUGAUCAACGAUAAUGCUUGGACUAUUCCCGAACCACCUCCUAAGCCAACUCCGAAGAAAAUAGGUAUCCUAUUCCUCAGUCCCGAAGAUAUGAAAGAAGCCAAGAAAUAUAUGCAAGAGAAAGGCAUUAGAUCUGAAGAUGUCAAAAAUCUACCACCUAUCAAAGAGAUCCACGGUCUCGAUAACCCGAUACAGGUAGUAGAAGUGAAUUCUCUACGUAGGUUUGAUGAGAGUGAUAUUCCUUUUGAUAAACCUGCUAGCCUAUGCUUUGAUGAAUUUGACAACUUUGUUGCCAAACAACAGAGUUUCAAUGAUUAUGUUAGCACAUAUUUGGAACAAAGUACUCGUAUGCUUAGCCAUUUAAGUGCUUGUGUAGACAGAAAUGUCAAUGCUUUGAAGCUUCUGAGUAAACAUGCCUCUAUGAUUACUACUCAGGUAGAACAAGUACUUAAAGCUCAGAAUGACCUGCUCAAUGAAUUAAAUGACAACUCUGUCAAAGUCAUUACUAGAGGAGGCAAAAUAACUUAGGAACCUUUGUUUCCUGAAGGUCAUCCUAAGAGAAUUGAUCAAGAUUCUCAAGGAAUCAAUGAUGAUACACCUAGUCAUCCUAAGGAGAAGAAGAAGGAUGAUAUAAACCUGCACGCCAGUUCACCAAAUACUGUCACACCUGAAGAACCUAAUGAUAUUUCUGCGUCUGAUGCAGAAACACAAUCUGGUGAUGAACAUGAACCUGGUGACAAUGUGGACAGCGAUGUUCAUAAUAAUGCUCAACCUAGCAAUGAUGAGGAUGUGGAGAUUGAACCUACGAUUAAUCCUGAUAACCCACAACCUAAGAAGUACGACAAGAAUGACUUCACUGCUAGGAAGCAUGGUAAAUAAAGAGAGCCAUGGGUUCAGAGACCUAUGCCCUUUCCUCCUAAGCCAUCCAAGAAAAAGGAUGAUGAGGAUUUUGAGCGCUUCGUUGAGAUGAUAAGACCCGUCUUUCUACAGAUGCGGUUAACUGAUAUGCUCAAGAUGUCUCCGUAUGCCAAGUACAUGAAAGAUAUCGUGACUAAUAAACGGAAGAUACCAGAUCUUGAGAUCUCCACCAUGCUUGCCAAUUACACUUUCAAGGGUGGAACUCCUAAGAAACUUGGUGAUCCCGCAGUGCCCACUAUACCUUGCUCCAUUAAGGGAACUAUGUAAGAAGUGCCUUAUGUGACCUUGGAGCCGGUGUUAGUGUUAUGCCACUCUCUCUUUAUCAUAGACUUGAAUUGGAUAAGUUGACACCCACUGAAAUUUCUCUGCAAAUGGCCGACAAAUCAACUGCUUUCCCUAUCGGCGUUUGUGAGGAUGUGCCUGUUGUGGUUGCUAAUACCACUAUCUUAACAGACUUUGUUAUCUUGGAUAUUCCCGAGGACGAUGCCAUGGCUAUCAUCCUCGGAAGACCCUUUUUAAACACUGCAGGGGCUGUUAUAGAUUGCAACAAAGGCAAUGUCACUUUCCAUGUCAACGGUAAUGAGCACACACUGCACUUUCCGAAGAAAUGAUAUCCAGUACAUUGCAUCAAUGCUAUUGAAAAGACUUCAUCGAUUCUCAUUGGGAGCUUUGAAUGCCCUAUUCCUCGUGUCAAGAUGAAGUAUGAUUUGCUUGUUGGGGAGAUACAUAUCCCCAUUGAGGUGACUUAGUGGCUAUUCGAAAAUUCUCCGUUCUCUCUUGCGAUUCGAGAAUGUUUUGUCAUAAGGACUUAAUCAAUCCCAUUGACGGAUUUCUUUCGAUGGCCAUGAAACGGAUGAAUCAGAGAGUCACAUACCUCUGUUUUGAGUCUUCAUUUUCUGUUGCUUAGAAGAAAAAUGAUAGAAUUAGUUUAGUUUUUCCUGUUUUCUGUUUUAGCGUCCCGGAGAAAAAUACCUUGAAAAUAAAAGUUCUCCGAUGGUCCUGAAAAUUUAGUAUGAUUUUUUCUAGAAUUUUUGAAGAUUUCUGGGCCUGAGAACUGGUCAGGGGUCCUGACCACUGGCCACAAGCCCCCCACCGCGAGCUACCCCCCUGGUGGCGGGGUGCAAGCUUGUGGGGCCCACAGGCACCCCCUCCACUCACUCCAGCUCUCAGCCUCUUCUUCCACCUCUAGAAUAAAUUGUUUCGUAGCUCAAACCCGUGUUCUUGCUCAUUUGGCUGUGAUUUUUGAUCUCCUUGCUCAAAUCACCAUUCUCUGAACUGUUUUGGGGAAAUUACUCCUUGGUAAGUGACUCCUCCAUUGGUCCAAUUAGUUUUAGCUCUAGGGCUUUAACCUUCGCGAAUUCUUGCUACCUUGGUGACCUUGUUCUUGAGCUAGAAAAGUUGAUUUUAGCUGGUCCCAAGUAGUUUUAGCGCGUGAUAUGGUCUCUAGGCACUAGUAGGAGUAGUUGCUACAAGGUAUAGUUGGUCCUCAUUCACUUUUCUCUUGAACUUCAAAAAUUUCAGCAUAAGGAAAUUAUGUUCAGGAGGAAGUUUCAUGGUGGUUCCUCAAGUAAGAAGGGUCCUCGUCUCUCCUUUUGGGAGCCCGAACCUUUUCAACUAAGGGACGCACCGGUGCAACCAUGUGAAUGGCCUUCCGAUGAGUUCAUGAUCGAAGCAGGCUUCAAGGAUGAGUUUGAUGCACUUGUCCGCAAUGCCGGGUUAGAAGAAUUCCUCUCAGAUAAAUGUGAACAGUAUGCUAUGCUCACUGCCUCUUUCGUGCGUAGAAUCCAUACUGUUUGAUCUGUACGAUAAACCCUAUACCGUGGGUCUGGAGGAUUUCAAUAGGAUUUGCAAGAUACCCGAUGGAGGUAGUGUUAUUGAUCCUCCUAAGUCUUCGGUCAGAGACUUUGUCUCCAGCAUAACUGUUGGAGAAACCAGAGAUAUUACGCAAGCCACCAUAGGAAGCAUCCAUUUCCCUGCCUUGCACUACCUUGCCCUCUUCAUAGGUAGGUGCAUUAACGACAAGGGUCCACAUUGUCACCUAUGCGCUUCUGACCUUAGUAUCCUUAAGAGCGCAGUAACAGGUGACAUGAGCUUCAAUAUGGGAGCUAUUAUAGCAAGGAGGCUGAAUAAAAAUGCUAGUGAGGGGGAUUUCUUUGGCGGAGUUUAUGCUACACGCUUAGCAAAUUUUCUGGGAGUAUCCAUCCGUCCAGAAGACCCUCCUCUCCGUACAGCCUACCUUGAUCGUGUCGCUCUAACACGCUACCACUUCCUUGAGAGAGAUGAUGGAUCUCUUCUAUACCGCUUGAUAUUUAACCGACAACGUGUUUUCCAUAUUACCCUUCCUGCUCCUGCUUUCUUUGACUUUCAGGUUAAACAAAGAUACUACAUAACCAUAGGAGAAGCAGAGGAGUAUGAGAGGGAGGCGACGGCUGCUCGACUUCGCGAGACAGCUAUUCAGGCAGUGGCUGCAGCACUCCCGUAUAGCACUCAUUAUGACUUUGGGUUUCGCCAGGAUCAUCCAUGGGAGUAGAUCAAGCUAGGCCAAAAGCCUAAGCUUGGGGGAGUACGUGUUCUCAUCGACUUUGCAUUCAUGCUCAUGCUUUCACUUUGUUAGCCGGUGUUUACAUUUUGCCACUGUAUUAUCCAUGCUAGUUCUUUUUGUUUUCUUGUUUUCUUGUUUUGUGUCCUUUUGAGAAAACCCAAAAAGAAUUUUCUUUCUUCUUUUGCUUGUUGGGAGCUUUCCCGUGUAAAUAGUUUUCUUUUUCUUUGUGUCAAGGUAGAAGAUAUUGGUUACAAUGUUUAGUGGUUCUUACAUGCUUACCUGUUUAGCUUUCAAAGAGCCAUAUUAUUUUGUCUUCUCCUUUGUGUUUGCCUGUAGAUUCAGCUUAGUCCAAUGCGCUUAUUAUCGUUUUUAUCGUUCGAUCGUGCAAAUGAAAGGCAACAAUGAUGAUAUAUGAUGAAGUGACUAAGACUUAAAAGCUGGUAUGAACUCUAUCUAUUUUGUUUUUGUAAAUAUGACUAGCUUGUCGACCCAUAUUUAGCUUUGUUGUGAGAGAACCAUGUUUGCAAUGACAACUUAGAGAUCAUAGUUUCUGAUGCCAUGCUUAUUUAGCUGAGAGCUUAUAAUGGUUUGUCUUGAUUGCCAACAUAGAUUUUGAGAUGACUGUGAUCUAGUAUGAUAGGAUGGUAUUCUCCUUUGAAUGUUUCAAGUGGCUUGACUUGGCGCAUGUUCAUGCAUGUAGUUGAAACAAAAUCAACAUAGCCUCUAUGAUGUUCAUAUUCAUGGUGAUUUAUAUCAUGUUCAUGCUUGCAUUCAAUGUUAGCCAAACCCAUUGCAUCUUGAUGACUGUUGUCGCUCUCUAGUUGGUCGCUUCCCAGUCUUUUGCUAGCCUUCACUUGUACUAAGCGGGAAUACUGCUUGUGCAUCCACCUCCAUAAACCCAAAAGUUUUUCCAUGAGAGUCCACCAUACCUACCUAUUUGCGGUAUCUACCUCCCGUUCCAAGUAAAUUUGCAUGUGCCAUUCUCUAAACCUUCAAGAAAUAAAUCUGUUUUGCAUGCCCGAACCGCUCAUGUGGUGACAGAGGGCUAUUGGUAUCUUCCGUGCUAGGAGUUUUAUCCUCGACAUGUGUUUAUUCAUAGUCAUUCACGAGAAAGGGGUCGGUACUUGGGAUGCCCAGUUCCAUGCUUAAAUCGAAAACAUAAUUGUAAAACAAGACUCCCCCCGGAUUGAUGUUAGUAUGGACGGUACCCGAGGAUUCGGCUAGCCGUGAGUGUGAUUGAUUGGUGGUGGGGGAGUUAAAACUUUACUUUUCUGCUUGGGAACGGCCUAUAGCAUGAGUAGGAUGGAAGAUAUUGAGAACUCUUGGUCAUUGCAUUGACAAUGAAAUCAUGCCAGCCAAAAUUAUUAUCUCUGUUUUCAAAGCUUGAGUUCUGGCACCUCUGCAAAAUCAAUGCUUCCCUCUGCGAAGGGCCUGUCUAUUUAUUUUCCUGUCGAGUCAUCCUCCUCUUAUAUAAGCACCAAUUAGAGAGCACCUGUGUCAUUUUUAUGCUUUGUUUUUGAUUAAUAUUGAGUAUGACUAUGACUGGAUCUUCGUUGCUAUGAAUUAAAAUGUUUAGUCAGCCCUUGAUCUUUCAAAGUGCUCUGCAUUUAUGUUUUGCGGUCUCAGAAAGAGCUAGCGAGAUACCACCUAUUCAUAUUGCUUCAUGCUUGUUUUGAUUGAAGUGUUGGUAUUUGAAACUCAUUAUUAUUUGCUUGUUAGCUGAUUAUGCCAUUGAUAUUAGUUUACCGUGAGACCUUUGUGUCAUUUGCUUAUCUGGUUAACUUGUGAUCUUGCUGAAAUUCGGGUUAUGAGUUAGACAUAGUUCAACAACAAGAUCAAACAGAGUUGGUCAAAGUCUUUCUUUCUCUCUCAGAUUGUCAACUGAGUUGCUUGAGGACAAGCAAGGUUUUAAGCUUGGGGGAGUUGAUACAUCUCGAACGUAUCUACUUUUCCAAACUCUUUUGCCCUUGUUUUGGACUAUAAUUUGCAUGAUUUGAAUGGAACUAACCUGGACUGACGCUGUUUUCAGCAGAAUUGCCUUGGUGUUAUUUUUGUGCAGAAAUCAAAGUUCUCCAAAUGUCCUGAAAAUUUACGGUGAGCAAUUUUGGAAAAUAUCAAAAAUACCUGCGCCAGGAUCCACCUGAGGGGGUGGGCCAGUGGGCCACAAGCCCGUGCUCCGCCACCACCCCCUGGUGGCGGUGGGCAGGCUUGUGGGUCCCACAGGCCUCGGCCGCCCCAACUCCAGCUUUAUAAGUUGUCUUUCGUCCCAGAAAAAAUUAAAAAGAGAAGUUUUCGUCGCGUUUUCGAUACGGAGGCGCCGCCACCACCUGUUCUUCAUCUGGAGGGAAGAUCUGGAGUCCGUCUUGGGCUCCGGAGAGGGGAAAUCGUCGCCAUCGUCAUCAUCAACCUUCUUCCCUCUCCAAUUCCAUGAAGCUCUUUGUCGUUCGUGAGUAAUCUAUUCGUAGGCUCGCUGGGCGGUGAUGAGUAGGAUGACAUCUAUCAUGUAAUCGAGUUAGUUUUGAUGGGGAUUGAUCCCUAGUAUCCACUAUGUUCUGAGAUUGAUGUUGCUACUACUUUGCCAUGCUUAAUGCUUGUCACUAGGCCCGAGUGCCAUGAUUUCAGAUCUGAAAUUAUUAUUAUGUCACCAAUAUAUGUGUGUUUUAGAUCCGAUCUUGCAAGUUGUAGUUACCUACUAUGUGUUAUGAUCCGGCAACCCCGGAGUGACAAUAAUCGGAACCACUCCCGGUGAUGACCAUAGUUUGAGGAGUUCAUGUGUUCACCAAGUGCUAAUGGGUUGGUCUGGUUCUUUAUUAAAAGGAGAACCUUAAUAUCCCAUAGAUUCCUUUUGGACCCCGCUGCCACGGGGGGGGGGGGGAUGGACAAUAGAUGUCAUGCAAGUUCUUUUCCCUAAGCACGUAUGACGACACACGAAAUGCAUGCCUACAUCACAUUGACGAACGGGAGCUAGCCAGUUAUCUCUCCGUGUUAUAGCUGUUGCAUGAUGAAUAUCAUCCAAACAAAUCACCAACCCAAUGCCUACGAGUUUGUCCUACCGUUACUUGUCUUGCUCUGCUACUACUACUGUUGCUACUACUGCCGUUACUUGUCUUGCUCUGCUGCUACUACUGUUGCUACUGCUGUUACUUGUUUUGCUCUGCUGCUACUGUUGCUACUACUGGCGCUUGCUACUGUUGCUACUUGCUACUGCUGUCACUACUGCUGUUCCUUGCCACUGCUAUUGCUCGUUCCACUGCCGAUACCCGUUACUUCGCUCUUACUACUUCCCUGUUACUAUUGUGCUUGCAGAUACUAAUCUUUUAGGUGUGGUUGAAUCUGACAAAUUCAACUGCUAAUACUUGAGAGUAUACUCUCACCUCCUGUCUGGCGUACCUACAAAUUGGGUCGAGUACUCUACCGUCUAAAACUGCUGCGAACCCAUGCGCUGGUGGGCCAUCAACAAUAUUCUUCCAGUUUCAUUGCCGGGAAGUGCUAUCAGCAUUCUUCUGGUGCCAUUGCAGGAGAAGGUUAGUUGUUAUAAGCAUUCGUCUAGCUAACACUAGAGAUUGAAGGAUCAUCACUUUUCUGGAGCCAUUGCUAGAGAAGUACAGCUGACGUCACAACCCCAGAUGAGAUCUUGGACUUCACGAGGAGCUCCAGAAUGGUCCGGAGGUAAAGAUUGAUAUAUAGGAAAGUGGGUUUUGAACUCCGGAAAAGUUUCAGACAUUUCCGACAGUGACGAAAAGUUUCAGACAUUUCAGACAUUUCCGGGGGUGACGAAUGGGUUCCGGGCGUCAACCAGGUGGGCCCACCCACCCCAAAGGGUCUCAUGGGCUGUGGGAGGACGUGAACAAGCCUCUAGUGGGCUUGCCGAAGCCCCCACUAAAUCCCAAGGCAGAUUGGAGGUGGGAAGGAAAGAAACCCAACGGUGGAAAAGGUGGAAAGGGUUUCAAGUGGAGAGGAGGAAUCCUACUCCUAGUAGGAUUGGAGUAGGACUCCUCCACCUCCAAUUUCGGCCAAACCUUGAGGGUUUGAGGCUGCCUCCUCCCCUCCCUCCCUUCUAUAUAUACUAGAGGUUUUAGAGGUGAGGGCUAACCCUAAUUGCCACGUGCUCCCUCUACUUCAUCUAGACCGGUUUCUCCUCUAGUCUAGUUCGGUGGUGCUUAAGCGAAGCCCUGCUGGUCUAGUUCACCACCACCACCACCACGCCGCUAUGCUGGACAACUCAUCUACCUCUUACUGGAUUAAGAAGGCGGGGAUUGUCAUCGAGCUGUAUGUGUGCUGAACGCGGAGGCGCCGUUCGUUCGACACUAGAUCAGGACGAAUCAUGAUGAGAUCGCGGGAUGGGCUACGAUUUGGAUCGCGAAGAUGUUCCAGUACAUCAACCGCGUUAUAUACGCUUCCGCUUAGCGAUCUACAAGGGUAUGUAGAUGCAAUCUCCCCUAUUGUAGAUGAUCAUCACCAUGGAUAGGUAUUCCGUGUGCAUAGGAAUUUUUUUUGUUUCCCAUGCAACCUCUCCCCAACACAUAUUACCGCCCGCCACUGCUAUUUUUGUUACUAUUGGUGGGCAUCUACUAUAGCUCGCCGGUUCUAGUUUAUGACUAAUUUGCCACGAGGUCAAAAAUACUGGUCGCCCGCCACAGGUAACUCAUAUACUAGUGGCGGGAUACAUCUUGCGCCCUCCACUCGUAACAUUUGUCCCAUGACAAAUUUGGACUGCUAUUACCAGUGACGGGCGCAAACUCACGCCCGACACUGGUAAGCCAAUAGCAGUGGUGGGUGCUAGACUGCGCCCGCCUCUAAUUUGAGGGCACAUGUAAGUCAUUUCUAUAGGAUCCGAUGUAUGUCUAGAGGGGGCGUGGGUGAUUAGACUACUUGUGUGACGCCCUCGAUUUAAUCGUACGCUAAUCAUACACGCAAAUGCGUACGAUCAAACUCAAGGACUCACGGGAAGAUAUCAGAAAACAACUCUAGACACAAAUAAAAUAAUACAAGGUUCAUAUUACAAGCCAGGGGCCUCGAGGGCUAGAAUACAGAAGCUCGAUAAACACACGAGUCAGCGAAAGCAACAAUAUCUGAGUAAAGACAUAAAACAUGGGGUGCCUUAGAGAAGGCUAGAACAAAAGAAACACUAUCGAACGAAGUGAGGUCUCCUUCCUGGGAACGUCCUAAACUACUCCAGGUCUUCAGCGGCCUCCAUGAAGAAGUCACCAUCGGGGUGGCAGGCGUCGGCAGGAAACUCCAUCUCCUGGGCUCCAUCAUCUGGUCGCAACAAUGGAUCAAGGGGACAAAGGGGGAGCAAAGCAAUGGUGAGUACUCAUCCAAAGUACUCACAAGUCUUACAUCAGAACUAUGGUAAGUAUGCAUCAGUAUAAAAGAAGGGGUUUAUAUGUGGACUGACUGCAGCAAUGUGAGAAUAGAGAGAAGGCCUAGUCCUAUCGAAGACUAGCAUCUUCAGGGUCUUGCAACAAUAGAUGAGAGUAGAAUAGGUAACACAAUUAAUAGUCAUAUUGUUGCAGCAAUAUUAAUAUGAGGGCACGCCCAGAGAUCCUCCCUCGACUCCCUUCGAGGAAGCAAUCCCGAGGCAACUAAUCCAGUUAAGUAACCAUUGUAGUUGUAUAAGAUCAGGGCACAACUCCAAGUCGUCCUGUAACUGUGGACACGACUAUUUGAUUAGAUAAGUUCUUCCCUGCAGGGGUGCACAACAUAUUCCCUGACGCGCUCGAUAACACUCUAGCCGGACACAUUUUUCUGGGUCAUGGACGGCCUCGGAAUAUCGACACAUCGCAGCCCCACCUAAGCACAGCAAAGAGGCCUGCCCGCCGGUCUAAUUCCUAAGCACAAAGGGGUCGUGGGCCCACUUAUCCUCUGCGCUCCUGCACGAUGCGAGGGCGGCCGAUGUCAGUCCUAGCACCCCUUAAUACAAGAGCGAUGCAUCUCGGGACCACUCGGUAGCGCGCGGCUACAUCACUGACGUCUGAAGAGCUUCGGCUCAUACCGCGACGUCGAGUACCCAUAAUUCUUCCCACGUAGACGGUUAGUGCGUAAUAAGGCCUUCUGACCAACCCAUAUCAAAUACCCAAAUCCCUUAACAUUUUAAUUAGGCCAUUGACACAAUCUCGCGGGAAUCCACCCGUCUAACAACUAAACACCAAUGAUCCCAGUAACAUGGUCGAGUAACUGUGUGGUUGUAACAUCGAGGGAAUCCGAGGUAUCGCCCUCGUUGGAUUCCGAACGAUGUAUCCGUCAAGGUGGGCUUAGAGGAAUCACCCUCGAGGGUCCCACACUUGAGGGGUUGCACGACGGAGGCAUCGUCCGAAAUGGUGAAAGGGGAAUCACCCUCGAUAACCACGACCGACUAGCUAUACUACAGAGAUAUCAUCAGGAGUACUUAGCAUGGUGUCACCCUCGGUACCCGAUAGUAUCUUUGUAGCGUCGUAAAACUAAGGGGGGGGGUGUAUGUGCCGUGUCGGGUCUGGCUCGUCGAUCAGGGAUCAAGAUUUGAAAGCAAAGCGGAGCAACUGGACUACGGGGUCAGAUGGGAAGACUGCUCCACAUAUACUAAACAGGUUAAAAGUACCGUACUCAAAGUAGCAGUUCAUCAAAAACAGGUUAUGCAUCAGAUAUAGGACCUAACUACAACAGUAGCAAAAUACUAAUGCAAGCAUGAGGGAGAAAGACAUAGGCGAAAUAGGGAUGAUCAAGGGGGUUUGCUUGCCUUGUUUCUCUGCAGACAGAUAAAGAUCCUCAACGUUAAAGAAGUCGAUCACCGGAUCAACAUUGGUCUCGGGGUCUACCAGGAAGGAAAAUAACGAAGGGGAGACACAAUAAAUAAGAGAGCAAGCAAACACACCACAAAGCAUGACAAGGUAAUACACAGUGCUAGGGGUGACCUAACGCAGUAUUAAAUGUUACAGACGAAGCAGAAAAAUAUCUCACGAUAUUUCCCGGGUCUUUGAUUAUUACCGAGCAGAUGAUCCAAACGCAAAAAUGUCCAUAUUCAUCAUGCUAGAGGCAUGUUACAAAUGAACGGACAUGGAUUUUCUGAACAACUUUCAUGUAUAAAAUAUAAUCAUCCGAGUUAUGGAUUAUUUUCUUUAAUUUUCAAAGUUUUAAUCAUUUUCUAAAUUUUUUGGAUUUACUUUAAUUUGAGUUGACCUAGUCAACUUGACUAGUAAAAUGGGGAGGGUGUGGCCUACAUGUCAUAGGCAGCAAUUAAACUGUGCUAGUUAAUUAAAUUAAUUAGUGUGAGUUUACUUGGCAUAGGCUAGUAGUAGUUAAACUAACUAGGAGUAAUUGAUACAUAGUACUCCCUCCGUCCGGAAAAAGUUGCCCAAUGCUUAGUUCAUUUUAAAUUUUGCAAAUACACCCUUUUGGUUUUAAAUCUCGUGCUAAUCCCCCUCCUCUGCUUCUUCUUCCUUCGCCCGUGGCUGGACCAAGUGGCCAUCUUCGCCACCGUCGACAGCCGCCGUAGAUGCAGCGGGCUACCGCCACCCACCUGCGCUGCUGCCCACCUGCGUCGUCCUCAAGCUGUCCUCCCACCUGCUGCAGCGAAUCUGGCCUUCCAAGCCCGAAGCCGUGCUCGCCUUCCUCGCCGGCCUCGGCCUCGCCGGCGUCGACGUCGCCGCCCUCGUCUCCAAGGACCCACAGUUCCUCUGCGCAGGCGUGGAGAGCAACCUGCGCCCCGCCGCCGUCGGGUUCACCAGCCUCGGCCUCUCGCGUUCUGAGCUCGCGCGACUCAUCUCUUUCUGCCCUGCCGCACGGAGGCGAGCCGCGGGUCCGCGAGCUCUCGGGGUUCCAGUCCCGCGUCCAGCUAUGUCUGGUACGUCACUGCAUUUCCACUAUGGAGAGAUCAAUUUGUUCUAUGAGUGUCCAUUAUACACAAGUGCGCAUAUCAGUAUGUGGGAUUGGGAGACAAUAGUUGUGUUUGUGCUACUCAUAUCCGCUGAAUUGCACUUGGUCCAUUGUGGAUCCGCAGUACUUUGCUGAAACCAUUGUUUCAUGUGACAUGGAGGGACUCAUAUCCCCUUCUCAAUAAACUGAAGCUGUUUUCUGGCAUUUUUACCCAGGGUGUGUUCACCAUGUUUGCAAGGUAGUUAGUGAGCUAGUGCCUGAACUAUUAAACACAUCCGAGCUUUGUUGUGGUUUAUACUUCCUUGUGUACCAUCUUGAAUUUAGUGAUGCCAUCUGUAGGAUAACAUGCUACGAAUCAAUAAGGAAGUUAUUGUCAUGUCUACUGGAAAGGAAAAUUGGUCAUCAUAUUAUGCAACUAUGUCUAGCUCAGAUUGAACCUUCUCAAGAAUUGAAAGUUGACACAAUAUCCCAACACUUCCCAGAUAACUGAAGAAAACUGAAUUUUAAGGUUUAUUUCAGACAUGUAUGCAGAGAGUACCUGAUCAAUAAAGUAAUCCCGGCAAUCCAAGACAAGUGGCCCGACGAUGACGAGGGCACCACAAUCUUCAUUCAACAAGACAAUGCAAAGCCUCAUGUUCUUCCUAACGAUCUAGGUUUUCGAGAAGCAGUGGAACAAACAAAUUUGGACAUUCGAUUGUUACAACAACCUCCAAACAGCCCCGAGUUCAAUGUUUUAGACCUGUGCUUCCACCGAUCUCUCCAAUCCCUAACCGACUGCAGAGCGCCUAUGAAUAUUCGGGAACUGAUACAGGGUGUAGAGGAGGAGUUUGAGAACUAUGAGGCUGAUAAGCUGUUCAAGAGCUUCAUCACACUCCAAGCAAUCAUGGUAAGAGUCAUGGAAGAUCAAGGAGGAAAUAGCUACAAAAUGCCUCAUUUGCAUAAAGAUCGCUUACAAAAUGUCGGGGAGGAAAUAAUCGGUGUGUAUUGCAGUGCCGAGCUAAUUACCGACACAGUGGCCAUUCUUGAACAAGAAUAAUAGACCAAGGAAAAGGAAAGCAGUAGAUAGGGAAAUGAAAAGAAAGGAUAUGAAAAGAAAGGAUAGGAAUUCGUGUCAUGUUUCAUGUGUAUGCCAUGUGUGAUAUGUACUCCCUCCGUUCCUAAAUAUAAGUCUUUUAAGAUAUUUCACUAUGAGUCUACAUACGGAACAAAAUGAGUAAAUCUAUAUUCUAAAGUAUGUCUAUAUACAUCCGUAUGUAGUUCACUAAUGAAACUUCUUUAAAGACUUAUAUUUAGGAACGGAGGGAGUAUGUCUUGUGUCAUGUGUUCAAUGAGAUAAGAUUGGAGUAUGUCAAGUGAUUUAUUUGGAUUUAUUUGAAUUAUUUGCAUUUUUAUGAAUUUAUUUGGUUUUUAUGAAUUUAUUUGGAUUUAUUUGAAUUAUUUUGUUUUUUAUGAAUUUAUUUGGAUUUUUUGAAUUAUUUGGUUUUUUAUGAAUUUAUUUGGAUUUUAUGAAUUUAUUUGGAUUUAUUUGAAUUAUUUGGAUUUUAUGAAUUUAUUUGGAUUUAUUUGAAUUUUUUGGAUUUUUAUGAAUUUAUUUGAAUUAUUUAAAUUAAUUUGACAAUAAAAUCUUAUGACAAGAUAUAAAUACAAAAAACUUGAGUUGAGAGAAAUAAUAUCUUUAUUAAGAGUCAUUACAAGAUGUACAAGGUCAUUACAAGGAGUUGAAAGAAGAGAAAUAAUAUCUUCAGAAGGGUCAUUACAAGUUGUAUAAGAUCAUUAGAAUAAAUUCUUCUCCUUCUUCUUCUUCUUCAUAUUUUUUCUUCUUCUUCUUCUUCUUCUUCUUCAAUACACAUGAUAGUUUCCUAUUCUCCAAAUAAUUCUGCAGUACACAAACAAAACGUUAUCUUUUCAACCAUUUCAGAAACUCCAAGUUGUCAAGUGGCCGUCCUUUAACAAGUUUGUUGACCUCAAUAUUUUGCAGAAAGCAUCCACCCACUAAUUAGCACAAUAAAGAACAUUUUAUGCUACAGAUUACCUAUAUUCAUAAAGAGUAGAAGCUGUAGAAGAGAGAAGAAGCACCCUUAGCUCGGUUUACUAAAACACAGGCCCUAAAAUGGGUAAAACAUUAAGAAAGCACAACUCUGAACUUUAUAUUAUACGGGAUCAGAACAUAAACUUGUUGUGACAUCCGAAACUAGCCAUUAAAACAACAACCACCACCACACUAUCAAAGCCUUCCCUGAUAUCAAGUGUCAAGUGCUGAACAUAGACAGUCACAUAACACCAAACUAUCAAAGCCUUCCCUGACAUGCAUAAACCGAAUUACUGUACACACAUAUCGCCUUUGCUUUCCCAUAUGGCAAUAUGCGAGGCACAAUCACGGAUAAAAUCCACGGGUCAGGGAGCUAAACCGGGAGAAUCACCCGUACCUUUCCUAUCCGCAGCUUGUUGAACACGUCCUGGAGAAUCUUGUAGUUCUGGAUCAUGUCGUACUCCGUCUUGGCAUCGAAAUUCACCUACAGAAAACACCCCCAAAAUGAGCAUCCGUAGCCAUCUAAACCGCCAAGCGCAGCGCAACAUUGAGUUAUCUACUGUGAAGGAAACAUAAAAACGUCUCCUCAACAGGAGAUGAAAGACGAGCAGGCCUGGGAUAGAAACUAAAACUAGCCUUUUUGUUCUGAUCUGCUUCAGACCACCACAUCUUCUCCUGAUUGCCUGAGCUUCAGAGGAGGUGCAGCAACGGCUUGUGGUGACCAACAGGCAGAGAGGAUAGAGACGAGGCUACUCAGUGUGCAUUUGUCCCCAGGUGCCUUUUCUUGCUCGGGGAGUGGUAGCAGUCGUCGUCCUCAGAUACCUUGAGAUUAGGGAUCCCUUCAUUUCAAACCUGCUUCAGCAUCAGGCACUUAGGAUCAUGGGGGGAAACUGGGUGUAUCUUGUCAGCUCCUCCAAGAAGCCCAACAUCUUCCGCUUGCCAUGUUCUGGUGUCAGUAUCUCCCAGGAUUUGAGAGUCCCGAGGAUCACUCUCCAGACCUGCUCAACAUAUAUCCAAGUGUUGUUGUUAAAGAUCAUAGAGUUCUUAUACAUCCACCCACCAAUUAGCACAAUAAAGUAAGCAAAGCAGCAUAAUUCAACAUUCCAUUUAAAGAGUAACCACAUUUGUUUGGGUCUAGAACAUAAGCCUAAGAAUCCAGCAUCUAUGAACGUCGCGCAGUGCUCGAUAUCUCGAACCAAUUGCCGCAAUCAGGUAGGAGGAGAAAUAGCACACUGGCGGCGUCCUCACUGUACGCGGUGGCGGCGGCGGGGAAGACCGAAGUGGAGGAGGAGGAGCCGCAGCGCGCGGCGACGAACGACACCCCUCCGAGCGCUCGCCGCGGCCGCGGACCUCAUCUCGCCGUUGUAGCAAGGACGCGGCCGCGGCCGCCGCGGGCCUCAUCUCGCCGCCGACGGUGGUGGGUGUGCGGGCGGGCGGGCGAGCGGCGCAGGAUGGCUGCUGAGGGGGAUGUGGACGGACUCCGCGGCGACACGAGGCUUCGAUUGGGCCAAACAAACAAAGUUGUCCCGAUCCAAACAAACAAAACUUACCGGAGACUCGCCGGAGCUGGAGUAUGCACGGGUAGUGCCGCCGCCGGAGCCGGCAAAUCACGAGCUUUGAAGAAAAGGGGCUCCUUCCAUCUUGAGAUCCUGAUGAGGAUGAAGAGAAGAGGCCGGCGGUUGGCGGGGCGAUAGAGACGGCGGCGAGACGAGCGGGAGAAGGCUGUCGGCCGUCGGCGGGGCGAUAGAGACGGCGGCGAGACGAGGCCCGGAGCUUAGGAGGCGGCGCGGCGCGGUGGCACCAGGAGUUGUGGCACGGCGCGGUGGAGGAAGAUGGAGGGGAGCGCGCGUUCGGUCGGGCAAACAUGAAGGGGUUUUUUGAAAAAAUGCCUCGGUGACAUCUUUUUUCGGACGGAGGGAGUACUAAUUAAACCACUACUAGGCCGGUCACACUCUUCCACACACACUUACGGCUCAGACACAACACACACUCACGCGUACACACACAGGCAAACACGUCACAUACCCCGUGGCUAGCAGCAGCGCAGGCACAACAAGCGCUAGGAACAGCUAGCAGCAUGGAGCAAUAGUAGCAGGCCAGCAGCAGCAGGAUCAAACGUAGUGAGCAGCAAAGCAGCCGACGGUUGCGGUAGCAGCGCGCAGCACAUCACGCAAUACCAUGGCAGCUGGGUAUCAAGCAACAGCUGCAGUUAGCCAGUGGAGUGCACUGGGCAGCACCCAACGACGACGAGAGCUGGCGCUGGUCGACGCGACACACGCACGUCCUGCAGCGGGAGCAACGCAAAAGGCAGCAGGGGAGCGCGGCAGCGGACGACGGCGGUGCAGAGAAACAACGGGUGGCGCGAGCGGAAGCAGUAGCAAGCAGCAUCAGCAGGCAGUGAGCAACAAAAGUGAGUAGCAGCAUCAGCAGGACGAGCAGUAGUAGAGCAAUGGCAGCACAGGCAGCAAGCGCAGAGUAUGUACGUGCGCGUACGCGUACGUUCAAACGAGCUCUGGGACGGUAGCUACGGCGAUGGAUUGAGGGGGAGACAAGGGGGAAUGGGGGUGCCGCUCACAAGGGAAGGCGGAGGAUGCGUCGGACGGGGCAGAGGAGCUCCGGUGAGGUAGAUCGAAUGAGGCAAUGACGGCCGUAGGUGAGGAAGACGACGUCGAUCCCUGCAAUGUAGAGGCAUAGAGCUCGAGGUGGUGGUCGUAGACGACGUAGAGGAGGUCGACGGAGCUACAGGACAUGGACUCCGGGCACGGGGUUGACGGAGGGCGCGAGCUUCACGGCGAGGCGGCCAUGGGGUCAUGACGACGACGGACGUGAGCGGGACAGAGGGAAGAGAGGCGGCUAGGGUUGCAGGGGCGCGGGGGCCUGGAUGCUUGGCACGUGGCCAUCCGUGGCCAUGGACGGGGGUGCAUCGUCCACCCAAGCUCUGGUGAACAGAGGAAGGAGAAGACCUUAUGGUGGGUUUGGCCUUUCGUGUGUACUUGAGGUCCAAGUGCAUAGUGAUGACCUUUAUUUUUCUUUUCAUUUUUAUUUCUCCGAGUUUUCUUUUUAUUUACCUUUUUUUGCAUUUAUUUAAAUAGAAAAAGGGGUGUGUAAAAAUAUGGAACCUUGCCUAUUAUUACUAAUGCAAUAUUAGGCACUUCCACAAAAAGUUUAGAAUUUAUUUAAAUUAGUUUGCAAAUUUUAUAAUCUAAAAAGCCUUUAGAUCAUCGCUUUGGCUUGUAUCUUAAAUGUUUUAGGGAAUAUAAUCAUUUCACAAAAUGUUGGUUCCAUCAUGGAAAUUAUCCAAAAAAUAUUUGCAACACACUGAACAUUUUAGUUUUUCAUAUUUGAACAAAUAAUUAUUUGCCUUUAAUUUAAAAUUAAAAAAAUGGCUUUGAGUUAUAACACGUAGCAAUUUGGUUUAGUUAAACUUGAUGACAUGGCAUCAUUAGUGUGUGAUUACUGUAACAUGUCUAGAGGGAUUACUGUAGCAUAAUCCGGGGAUGUCACAACUUGACCAAAUAAAAACUUAGCCUUUUCCCAAUUUUAGUUGUGGGAAAGUUUAAGAAAUUGUAGUAAUUCAAGCACACCCUACACAUGCUAGUCUAAGAGUAUAGCAGCGGAAAGUAAAUACAUGCACAUGUAAAUAGAGGUUAUGGAUAGGAAGAUCAAACACAAAGAUUGACAUGGCAUUUUUGGCGUGGUUCCGAUAGGUGGUGCUAUCGUACGUCCACGUUGAUGGACACUUCAACCCAUGAAGGGUAACGGCUGCGCGAGUCCAUGGAGGGCUCAACCCACGAAGGGUCCACAGAGAAGCAACCUUGUCUAUUCCAUCAUGGCUUACAUCCACGAAUGACUAGCUUCACUCGAGGGAGAUCUUCACGAAGUAGGCGAUCUGAUUUCCCUUACAAACUUGAUUCAACUCCACAACAUGAAGUAGGAGGCUCCUAAGUGACAUCUAGCCUAUCUAGGAGACACCACUCUCCAAAAGGUAAUAGCAGCAGUAGUACAAUGAACUCCUUGUUGUUGUGCUUCAAAAGAUAGUCUCCUCAACACUCAAUCACUCUCUCAUAGAUUUGGCUUGGAUAGAAGAGAUUGGUUGGGUGGAAAGCAACUUGGGGAGGCUAGAAAUCAAGAUUAAAAUGGUAGGAUUGCAAUAUCUUGAUCUCAACACAUGAGUAGGUGGCUCUCUCUCGGAAAAAUGGACAUGGCAAGUCUUGGGUCAUUCCGAGUUCUUCCUCUACGAAUGAGAAGUGCUGGAGGGGUAUAUAUAAGCAUCUCCAAAAAUCUAACCGUUACAACAUUAUUGCCCAACUCGCUGAAACCGAAGCAAAACUCCAUGGCACCUACCACUAGUAGAAAAAUGGCUAGCCACAACUUUAUUUGGUGGUGCCUCAUUUUUUUACCACGCCACCACUAAUUUUUUGAAUAGUGGUGGCAUUGGUAUAUUUGGUAUGCCAUAAGUAAUAGGAUACUUGUUGCGUGCCACCUAAAUUUCACAUCACUACUAUUUGGCAUCCAGUAGACUACCCGAUAACAAGUUAGUGGUGGCGUGUAGCUUUUUCUGAUGCCACGAGUAUUGGCACUAGCGAUGGCAUCGGACUUUGUGACUUGCCACUAAUAACCGGACCAAUUAGUUUGAAAAAUAAUAAAAAAAAUUGGACCAAUUACCAAUGGCGUGCAUACACAUACCUACAUCAUUGAUAACUGAAUCUGGCACGCGCCACGAGUAAUUUUUUUUCCAAAGACAACCCAAUUUUAUCUGUUUAUCUUUUUGGAGACAAAUGUAGCAAAUGCCACGAGCAUACAACACCAAAACCCCAAAAGGCCCAAACAUGACACCUAAACCUACAGGCACAUAUCUCUUCCCUCUCGUUUAGGGUUUCUUGUCAUCCGGCAAUGAUUUCAUCAUCGCUGUGAGUUUACCCCCGUAGCCGGUCCUUCUCGUGCUAGCGCACACCACCCUCGUGUGCUGCUCGGAGCAUGUGAUCAUUUUGUUCUCCGCUGGGUGACAGCCUAGCCCUAACCCUAGAUGACGGCUUCAAAUGGACCCUCAUCGACAAUCGCUGGAUCGAUAAGAAUCUAGAGGAGUUGCUAUAGCACCUCGAUCUGAAGGAGGAGUAGCUGGAUGACGUGGUCAUAGGUGAGGAAGAGUUGAAGAAAUUUGAGGCAGAGGCACGACGGAUGGCAAUCGAAAAGAUGAAUACGACGCAUCGCUUUAGUACCACCACAAUGUUUCAGUCUCUGAAAUCGAACUGGGGGCUAGCGCACGUGCCGAAGUUCAGAGAGGCAGGCGACAACCUGUUUUUGUUCCACAUGUUCUGCUUGGGAUAUUGGAAGAAGUUCGUUCAUGGUGGCCCAUGGCUAUUCAUGGGGAUGGGUCUUCUAAUCGAGGAAUACGAUGGCAAGACAGACGUGGAAUCGGUGAUCUUUGAUGGUCUGUACUUCUGGGCCCAAAUCCACAACAUCCCUGAUCUAUACUGCAGGGCCCAAAUUUUGGAUCAACUUGCUCGCCGAAUCGGUAGAGUGAAGGAUAUUUUACUCGCUCCAAAGCUUUAAUAUGAGGGUGACUAUAUCAGAGUUCGCACAAGGGUUUUUGUGAAUAAGCCCCUUACCAGAGUCACAUCACCGAAUGUCAUGGGCGAGGGGCACCGUUUACUCCCGGUCAAAUAUGAGAAAAUACCUUAAUUCUGUCAAGUAUGCGGAUUUAUGGGGCAAAAUCAUGAAGAAUGCGGCGAUGGUGUGGGGGAACCAAAACAGUGGCAGUUUGGAAGUUGAAUGCUGGCCUAAUGCAAGGAAUCGGCUCCUGAACAACAACAAUUUGUACGUACUGCUCGAGGGGGCUGGUCCAGGGGUGAGGCUAAUCUGGGGCUGGCUGCAGUGGAGCUUCACCGAGGGAUGAGGGAGCCCCACGCAAUAGGUCAUCACAGGCGGCUGGUUUGAUGAGGGAGAAGAUAUUGAUGAAGAUGUGACUAGUCGAGUGAAACCUAGUGCACCUCUUAGCACUGAAUGUAGUGAGGAGAUAGCGAUGCGGUGUAAACUAGAUGACGUCCUUGCUGCUAGCAGCACCAUCUUUGGUGAGAGGAACAACACGGGGAGGAAACCAGUCAUCAACGACCAAAACCAUAUGGUAGUGUUGGUAGAGAAGGGAGCUGUAGAUGUGACACGUGAACGUUUGUCUGCUGCUAUGAUACGUCUCCGUCGUAUCUACUUUUCUGAACUCUUUUGCCCUUGUUUUGGACUCUAAUUUGCAUGAUUUGAAUGGAACUAACCCGAACUAACGAUGUUUUCAGCAGAAUUGCCAUGGUGUUGUUUUUGCAUAGAAAUAAAAGUUCUCGGAAUGACCUGAAAAUUUAUGAAGAAUUUUUCUGGGAUUUGUGAAAAAUACUCGCGCAAGAAUUAGCGGAGGGAGUGGAGCCGUGAGCCCACAAGCCCACCAGGUGCGGGCCCCCCUGGCCGCGCCUGGCAGGCUUGUGGGCCCCACAAAGCUCAACCGCCCCUCAAUCACACUCUAUAUAGUCUGUUUCGUCCGAAAAAAAUCAAGCAGAAGAGUUCAUCGCGUUUUACGACACGGAGGCGCCACCACCUCCUGUUCUUCAUAUGGAGGGCAGAUCUGGAGUUCGUUCUGGGCUCCGGAGAGGGGAGAUCGUCGCCAUCGUCAUCACCAACCUUCCUUCAUCGCCAAUUCCAUGAUGCUCUUCACCGUUCGUGAGUAAUCUCAUCGUAGGCUUGCUGGACGGUGAUGGGUUGGAUGAGAUCUAUCAUGUAAUCGAGUUUGUUUUGACGGGGAUUGAUCCCUAGUAUCCACUAUGUUCUGAUAUUGAUGUUGCUACUACUUUGCCAUGCUUAAUGCUUGUCACUACGGCCCGAGUGCCAUGAUUUCAGAUCUGAACCAAUUAUGUUGUCGCCAAUAUAUGUGUGUUUUAGAUCCUAUCUUGCAAGUUGUAGUCACCUACUGUGUGUUAUGACCCGGCAACCCUGGAGUGACAAUAGCCGGAACCACUCCCGGAGAUGACCAUAGUAUGACGAGUUCAUGUAUUCACCAAGUGUUAAUGCGUUGGUCCGGUUCUUUAUUAAAAGGAGAACCUUAAUAUCCCGUAGUUUCUAUUAGGACCCCGCUGCCACGGGAGGGAUGGACAAUAGAUGUCAUGCAAGUUCUUUUCCCUAAGCACGUAUGACUACAUACGGAAUACAUGCCUACAUUAGAUUGACGAACGGGAGCUAGUUGCUUAUCUCUCCGUGUUAUAACUGUUACAUGAUGAAUGGCAUCCGACAUAAUCAUCCAUCACCGAUCUAAUGCCUAUGAGUUUUUCCUACUGGUCCUUGGUUUGUUACUUUGCCGCUAUUGCUGUCACUGCUGCUACCGUUACUUUGUUGCUACUACUGUUACUUUGCUGCUACUGGGUACUAUUGCUACUGCUGCUAUCAUACUACCUUGCUACUGAUACCUUGCUGGAGAUACUAAAUCUUUCAGGUGUGGUUGAAUUGACUACUCAACUGCUAAUACGUGAGAGUAUUCUUUCGCUUCCCCUUGAGUCGAAUCAAUAAAUUUGGGUAGAAUACUCUACCCUCGAAAACUCUUGUGAUCCACUAUACUUGUGGGUUAUCAAGACUAUUUACUAGCGCCGUUGCAGGGGAGGCACAUCUAUAUUCUCUGAGUCACUUGGGAUUUACGUCUGUUGAUCACUAUGAGGAAUCCGAAAGAUCUAAGAACUAAAGUCUUGCCCUCAACUACGAGGACAGGUAAGGAACUGCCAUCUAGCUCUGCACUUGAUUCACCUUCAGUUAUGAGUAAGUUUGCGACACCAACUCCUGCUAGAAAUCUUGAUAUGUCGCCUGUGCUUAAUGAUGCUACUUCUGCUGCCCAUGAUGCUUAUGAUGAUGCUAUGCUUGAUACUGCUUUGCCUGAUGAUGCUAUGCUCGAUACUGCUUUGCCACUAGGUGCAUUCCUUGAUGCACAAAUUCCUAGAGUUGCUGCUAGAUGUGAUGAUACUUGUGAAACUGCUGAUACUAUUGAAGUAGAACCUGCUAUUUUGCCUGCUAGAACUAGCUCUCCUAUGCCUGAAUUGCCUGAUAUGCCUGAGUGUUAUGUUAUGGAGGGAGAGAUAGCUGAGGACUUUCUUGCGUGUAAGGAUAGCUCUGAUGUUGAGAAAUUACUGGUCAAGUGGAAAGAAAAAUCUCUGAAUGCUAGGAUGAAAUACGACCCGAAGUUUGCUACUUCGCCUAUCUUUGUGACCGAUAAGGAUUAUGAAUUCUCUGUCGACCCCGAGUUAAUCACUCUGGCCGAAUCUGAUCCUUUUCAUGGUUAUGAGUCUGAAAUGGUUGUAGCACAUCUUACCAAACUGCACGAUAUAGCCACCAUAUUCACUAGUGAGGAAAAGAUCCGCCACUCUAUAUCCUCAAGCGGUUUCCUUUCUCGCUAAAGGAUGAUGCUAAGACUUGGUUCACUUCUCUUGCUCCUGGUUGUGUGCGUAGCCUCCAGGAUAUGGUCUACUACUUCUCUGGAAAAUAUUUCCAUGCCCAUAAGAAGAGAGCUACCUUGCAGGAAAUAUACAACUUUGCUGAAGCUGGAGAAGAGAGUCUCCCACAAGCUUGGGGGAGGCUCGUCCAGCUACUGAAUGUUUUGCCUGAUCACCCUCUUGAGAAGAAUGAAAUACUUGAUAUCUUCUAUAAUGGACUUACCGAUGCUUCUAGAGCCAACCUAGAUAGUUGUGCCGGUUGUGUUUUUAGGGAACGAACUUUAGAACAAGCUGAGAUCCUAUUGAAUAAUAUCUUGUGCAAUGAGAAUGCUUGGACUAUUCCCGAACCACCUCCUAAGCCAAGUCCGAAGAAAAGAGGUAUUCUAUUCCUCAGUCCUGAAGAUAUGCAGGAAGCUAAGAAAUCUAUGCGAGAGAAAGGCAUUAAAUCUGAAGAUGUCAAAAAAUCUACCACAUAUCGAAGAGAUCCAUGGUCUUGAUAACCCGAUACAGGUAGGAGAAGUAAAUUCUCUGCGUAGGUUUGAUGAGAGUGAUAUUCCUUUUGAUAAACCUGCUAGCCAAUGUCUGGAUGAAUUUCAUAACUUUGUUGCCAAACAACAGAGUUUCAAUGAUUAUGUUAGCAGACAAUUGGAACAGAAUGCUCGUAUGCUUUGUCAUUUAAGUGCUUGUGUGGACAGAAAUGUCAAUGAUCUUAAGCUUCUGAGUAAACAUGCCUCUAUGGUUACUACUCUGGUAGAACAAGUACUUAAAGCUCAGAAUGACUUGCUCAAAGAGUUGAAUGACAAUUAUGUCAGAGUCGUUACUAGAGGCGGUAGAAUGACCCAGGAACCUUUGUAUCCUGAAGGUCAUCCAAAGAGAAUUGAACAAGUUUCUCAAGGAGUUAGCACUGAUGCACCUAGUCAUCCUAGAAAGAAGAAGAAAGAUGAUAGGAACCUGCACGCUAGCAACCCAGAUGCUGAUACACCUGAGAGUCCAAACGUUGUCUCUGCCUCUGAUGCUGAGACACAAUCUGGUGAUGAACAUGAGCCUAAUGAUAAUAUCAAUAGUGAUGUUCAUGAAGAUGCCCAACCUAGCAAUGAUAAGGAUGUGGAGAUUCAACCUAUUGAUCUUGAUAACCCACAACCUAAGGCUAUAAGAUACAAUAAGAGUGACUUCGCUGCUAGGAAUCAUGGUAAAGAAAGGGAAUCAUGGGUUCAGAAACCCAUGCCCUUUCCUCCCAAACCAUCUAAGAAAAAGGAUGAUGAGGAUUUUGAGCGAUUUGUUGAAAUGAUUAGACCUGCCUUUCUGCAAAUGCGUUUGAUAGAUAUGCUCAAAAUGUCUCCAUAUGCUAAGUACAUGAAGGAUAUUGUGACUAAUAAGAGGAGGAUACCUCAGGUUGAGAUUUCCACCAUGCUUGCUAAUUAUACCUUCAAGGGUGGAACUCCUAAGAAACUAGGUGAUCCCGGAGUGCCGUUUAUACCUUGCCCCAUUAAAGGCAACUACGUUAGAACUGCUUUAUGUGACCUUGGAGCCGGUGUUAGUGUCAUGCCUCUCUCUCUCUAUCGUAGACUUGAACUGGAUAAGUUGACACCUACUGAAAUCUCUUUGCAAAUGGCCGACAAAUCAACUGCUUUCCCUAUCGGCAUUUGCGAGGAUGUGUCGGUUGUGGUUGCCAACAUCACUAUCUUAACAGACUUUGUUAUCUUGGAUAUUCCCGAGGAUGAUGCCAUGGCGGUCAGCCUCGGAAGACCUUUUUUAAACACUAAAGGGGAUGUUAUAGAUUGCAAAAAAGGCAAUGUGACUUUCCAUGUCAAUGAUAAUGAGCAUACGGUGCACUUUCCGAAGAAACAAUAUCGAGUACAUUGCAUCAAUGCUAUCGAAAAAACUUCAUCGAUUCUUAUUGGGAGAUUUGAGUGCCCUAUACCUCGUAUUAAGAUGAAGUAUGAUUUGCUUGUUGGGGAGAUACAUAUCCCCAUUGAGGUGACCUAGUGACUAUUCGAAAAUUCUCCAUCUUCCUUUGCGAUUCGAAAAAGGUUUGUCGAGGAGACUUGAUCAACCUCAUUGACGGAUUUCUUUCGAUGACCAUGAGAUGGAGGAAUCGAGGAGUCACAACCUGUGUUCCAAGCUUUCACCUUCGGUUGCUUAGAAGAAAAAUGAUAGGUUUAGUUUAGUUUUCCCUGUUUUCUGUUUUAGCGUCCGGUAGAAAAGUACCCCGAAAAUAAAAGUUCUCCGAACGUCCUGAAAAUCAAGUAUGAUUUUUUCUGGAAUUUAUAAAAAAUACUGAGACGAAUAGCUAGUCUAGGGGCUGCACUAGUGGGCCACAAGCCCUGGAGGCGCGGGCACCCCCUGGCCGCGCCUACCUGGCUUGUGGGGCCCACGUGCACCCCUCCACUCAUUCUAGCUCCCAUCUGCUUCUCCUACCUCCAGAAAAAAUCGUUUCUCAGCUCAAAACCGUCUUCUUGCUCCUCUUGCUGGGAUUUUCGAUCUCUUUGCUUAAAGCACCAUUCUCCGAACUGUUUUGGGGAAAUUACUCCUUGGUAAGUGACUCCUCCAUUGGUCCGAUUAGUUUUUGCUCUAGUGCCUUAUACUCUGCGUAUUUUUGCUGCCUUGGUGACCAUGUUCUUGAGCUUUGCAUGCUAAUUCUAGCUGGUCCCAAGUGGUUUUGGUGCGUAAUAUGGCUCUAGGCACUUGUUGGAGUAGUUGCUACAAGUUUAGUUAAGCCUUGUUCACUUUUCCUUUGGGUCACUGAAAAUUUCAGAAAAGGAAGAUGUUCAGGAGAAACUAUCAUGGUGGUUCCUCAAGCAAGAGAGGUCCCCGUCUUGCGAUUCGGGAGCCCGAUCCUUACCAACCAAGGGACGCACAGGUACAACCAUGUGAGCCUUCUGAUGAAUUCAUGAUUGAGGCAGGUUUCAAAGACGAGUUUGAUGGACUUGUUCACAACGUCGGACUCGAAGAAUUCAUCUCCAAUAAAUGUGAACAGUAUGUUGCUCUCACUGCCUCUUUUGUUCGUAGAUUCAAAUUUUUAGUUGGCCGCGAUACAUUUGUAUUGUUUGAUCUCUAUGACAAAUCGUAUACCAUGGAUUUAGAAGAUUUCAAUAGAAUCUGCAAGAUACCUAUUUGGGGUAGUCUCAAUGAUCCUCCUAAAUCUUCUGUUAGAGAUUUUCUCUCUCGCAUAACUGUUGGAGAAACUAGAGAUAUUACGCACGCUACCAUGGGGAGCAUUCAUUUUCUUGCCUUGCAUUAUUUUGCCCUCUUCAUAGGCAGAUGCAUUAAUGGAAAGAUUGAGCAUUGUGACCUCUACACACCCGACCUUAGUAUCCUUAAGAGCGCAAUAACGGGUGACAGAAGUUUCAACAUGGGAGCUAUAAUAGCAAGGAGGCUGAAUAAUAAUGCUAACGAAGGGGAUUUCUUUGGUGGGAUCUAUGCCACUCGCAUAGCAAAUUUUCUUGGAGUACCCAUCCAUGAAGGAGAUCCCCCGCUCCAUACAGCUUUCCUUGACAAUGUUGCUUUGACACGCUACCAGUUCCAUGAGAGGGAUGAUGAAUCCCUCCUAUACCGUUUGAUAUUUAACCGGGAGCGUGUUUUCCAUAUUACCCUUCCUGCUCCUGCCUUCUUUGACUUUCAGGUAAAACGGAGUUAUUACAUAACCAGAGGAGAGGCAGAGGAGUAUGAGAGGGAGGCUAAGGCUGCUCGUCUCCGUGAGGCAGCUAUUCAGGCAAUGGCUGCAGCGCUCCCGUAUAACCCCCAUUAUGAUUUUGGGUGUCGCCCGAACCAUCCUUGGGAGUAGACCAACUUAGGCCAAAAGCCUAAGCUUGGGGGAGUACGUGUUUCUCACCGACUUUACAUUCUUUCUUAUGCCUUCACUUUGUUCGUCGGUGUUCACACAUUGCCACUGUAUAAUCCAUGCUAGUUUAUUUUCUUUCUCUCGUUUUCUUUUCGUGUGUCUGUCUAGUUUGAGAAAACCCAAAAAUAUUUUCUUGUUCUUCUUUUGCUUGUUGGGAGCUUUCCCGUGUAAAUAGUUUUCUUUUUCUUUGUGUCAAGGUAGAAGACCAUGGUUAGAAUAUUUAGUGUCUCUCGCACGCAUAUCUAUUUAUGUGUUAAAGAGCCAUAUUACUGUGUCUUCUCCUUUGUGUUUGCUUGCAGAUUACAGCUUAGUCCAAUGCAUGAGCACGCUUAUUAUUGUUCACAUCAUUCGGUCGUGAAAGUGAAAGGCAAUAAUGACGCUAUAUGAUGAAGUGACUGAGCGUGGAAAAGAUGGUAUGAACUCGAUCUAUUUUGGUUUUGUAAAUAUGACUAGCUCAUCGUGCCUGAUUCAGCUUUGUUGUGAGAGAAACAUGUUUUCAAUGACAACUUAGAGAUCAUAGUUGCUUAUGCCAUGCUUACUUAGCUAGGAGCUUAUAAUGGUUUGUCUUGGAUGCCCACAUGAAUGUUGAGAUGACUGUGUCGUAGUAUGAUAGGAUGGUAUCCUGCUUUGAAUGACUCAAGUGGCUUGACUUGGCGCAUGUUCACGCAUGUAGUUGAAACAAAAUCAACAUAGCCUCUAUGAUAUUCAUGUUCAUGGUGAUUUAUGUCCUACUCAUGCUUGCACUCAAUGUUAGAAAAUCUCAAUGCAUUUUGAUGACUGUUGUCGCUCUCUAAUUGGUCGCUUCCCAGUCUUUUGCUAGCCUUCACUUGUACUAAGCGGGAAUACUGCUUGUGCAUCCACCUCCAUAAACCCAAAGUUGUCCCUUAUGAGUACACCAUACCUACCUAUAUGCGGUAUCUACGUGCCGUUCCAAGUAGAUUUGCAUGUGCCACUCUCUAAACCUUCAAGAAAUAAUCUGUUUUGCAUGCCCGAAUCGCUCAUGUGGUGACAGGGGGCUAUCAGUAUCUUCCAUGCUAGGCGCAUUAUCCUCGAUAUGUGUUUAUUCACUAUCAUUCACGAGAAAGGGGCCGGUAAUUGGAAUGCCCAGUUCCAUGCUCAAAUCGAAAAGAUAAUUGCAAACAAAACUACCCCUGGAUUGAUGUUGGUCUGGACAGCACCCGAGGAUUCGACUUGUCGUGGAGUGUGAUUGAUCGGUGGUGGGGAAGUCAAAACUUUACUUUUCUGUUUGGGAACUGCCUAUAGCAUGUGUAGCGUGGAAGGUGUUGAUAACUCUUAGUCAUUGCAUUGACAAUGAAAGCAUGCCACCCAAAAUUAUUAUCUCUGUUUUCAAAGCUUGAGCUCUGGCACCUCUGCAAAUCAAUGCUUCCCUCUGCGAAGGGACUGUCUAUUUAUGUUCCUGUCGAGUCAUCCUCCUCUUAUAAAAGCACCAAUUAGAGAGCACCUCUGUCAUUUUUAUGCUUUGCUUUUAACUGUGUUGAGUAUGACUGUGACUGGAUCUUCUUUGCCAUGAAUUACAAUGCUUAGUCAGCCCUUGGUCUUUGAAGGUGCUCUUCAUUUAUAUUUUGCGGUCUCAAAAAAAGCUAGCAGGAUACCAUCUGUUCGGACUGCUUCAUGAUUGUUUUGAUUGAAGUGUUGACGUUUGAGACUUAUUAUUAUUUGCUCGCUAGUUGAUUAUGCCAUUGAGAUGAGUUUACCGUGAGACCUUGAUGUCACUUGCUUAUGUGUUGCUUGUGAUCUUGCUGAAAUUCUGGUUAUGAGUUAGACAUAGUUGCAACAACAAGAUCAAAGAGAGUUCAUCAAAGUUUUUCUUUUGUCUCUUUCAGUUUGUCAACUGAAUUACUUGAGGACAAGCAAGUCUUUAAGCUUGGGGGAGUUGAUACGUCUCCGUCAUAUCUACUUUUCCGAACUCUUUUGCCUUUGUUUUGGACUCUAAUUUGCAUGAUUUGAAUGGAACUAACCCGGACUAACGCUGUUUUCAGCACAAUUGCCAUAGUGUUGUUUUUGCGAAGAAAUAGAAGUUCUCGGAAUGACCUGAAAGUUUACGAAGAAUUUUUCGGGGAUUUAUGAAAAAUACUGGCGCAAGAAUCAGCGGCGGGAGUGGAGCCGUGAGCCCACAAGCCCACCAGGCGUGGGCCCCCCUCGCCGCACCUCGCAGGCUUGUGGGGCCCACAAAGCUCUACCGCCUCUCAGUCCAGCUCUAUAUAGUCCGUUUCGUCCGAAAAAAUCAAGGAGAAGAGUUCAUUGCGUUUUACGACAUGGAGGCGCUACCACCUCCUAUUCUUCAUC